UCUAACUUCAAACUCUUUUACAAUUAGGUCCCAAACAUUCAUUUUCUAUUCAAUUCUUUCAAAAAAAUCAGCAUAUAAACAAUUUUAAGCUCUAAUUCCAUACCAAAUAAUCAUAUACAUCCAGCACAUAUUCAUAGAAACUUUCAAUUUCUUUCAUAGAAUCAAAAACUAAUGAAUUCAACAAGUGGACCUAGUUGUAAAAGUCAUAAAAACACAAAAAUUUCAAGGAAUAAUCAAAAAUUGAACUUACUUGAAGUAAAAAUAUGAAAAAACAGCUUAAUGGAACUCUUCCAUGGCAUUUUUGCUGAUGACAAUGCAGAAAAAUAAAGAGAAAUGUAGAUAAUUCCACUUUAGUCCUAGCUUUAUUAAGUAAAUUUUACAAUUUUUCAAUUUUGCCCUUAAUUCUCCUUAUUUUCUUGCUAAUUUCAUGCUCUUGCCGUCCAGUCCAAAUAGACCUUGGGUCUAUUUUCCUUUUAAACCCUCUUUCUUUUAUCAUUUAAACUAUUUAAUCAUUUUCCAUAAUUUUGCAUUUGAUACAAUUUAGUCCUUUUUGUUCAAUUAACUAUCAGAACUUUAAAAUUUCUUGACGAAACUUUAAUACUAACUUAUUAACACUCUAUAAAUAUUUAUAAAAAUAUUUAUGGCUUGAUUUAAAAUUCCCGAGGUCUCGAUACCUCGUUUUCGAUUCUAAUUAUUUUAGUAUUUAUUUUUAGUACACUAUUCACUAUUUCAAAAUUUUUCCCAACUUCACAUUUAACUUAUACUCACUAAAUUAAUAAUAUUUUCUACUCAUUUGUCGGAUUUAGUGAUCUCAAAUCACUGUUCCGACACUACUGAAAAUUAGACUGUUACAUGGAUACAACUUGACUUGUCGUUAUCUACUUAUAUUAUAUUUUUAAGUAAGUUUUUUUUUGUAGGUCUCGACAGCCUAUCAUAUUACAAUUUCUAUUUUAUUUCAACUAUUUUUAACUAAUAAUUUUAAAUUAAAUAUUUUUUAUUUAUUUUUAAGUAUGAAUUUACUAAUAUGAUGAAAAAUAAAAUAUAUUCAUGUUAUUUUAAUUUUUUUCAAAUUCGUACUUUUAUAUUUAUUAUAAAUAUUAUAUCUAAACAUAUACAAACUUGUGAAUAAGUAGAACUUCCAUUACUAAUGCAUAAGAGACUGUCUCCAUCGCUUUCCUCUUUUUAUGUCUAUUUUUGAAGACUAGAGUAAACUAAAAUUUUCAUUUGAAAUUUACUAAAUAAUAAUCUCAUGGUUUCAUAUAAUGAGCAUGUACUUGUGUUUGCUAAUAGAAUGUUAUCUAUAUAUAGCAUCGGACUAACAAUUUUUCUCUUACAGAAGUUUAAAUAUAUGCACUAAUCAAUCGUAUUUCCUUAAAAUAAAUAACAAUCCCGCUUUAACAGAUCUCCAUGCAAUGUAAUUUAAUAACAAAAUAUAUUAUUACAAUUAUACCUAGAAGAUAUUAAAAGGAAAAUAAAAACAACAAAGAACACAAAAUUUUUGACAAAGUUCAACAAGUUACACUUACGUCCUCUAAUACUAUCAAAUAUAUUUCCCCAAAAUCAUCCUCAUUAGUGUUGGAUUGGAGGCGCUAAAGCUUGGUUUUCCUUUUACGUUGCCCCGUUUUGAUUUUAGUUGGUGUUUUGGUUUAUGAUUAAGGGAAGCUGGAUUGGCCAUGAGAGUAUAGGCGUUGGAUCAUGAAUCUUCGCACGACAGAGGAGCAUCUUGUCUCGGGUAGUCAUCGACAAGGCCGAUUCCACAGUCACUUGCAAUCCUAAUGUUUGGAUAUCAAAUUUCGUCUCUGAUCUCUAAUCGUUUGACUUAUAACUCUUGCCUCUUCCCUAUAAGAACCACGAGAAAUGCCACUUCGGGUUAGUUACCAUGGGCUCGGGUUUUAGUUUAUACAGGGGUGAAGCCAGAACAAAUUUUUAGGGGGCGGAUGAAAUUUUAAUUUUUUAUAGUUUAUAUAUUUAUAAUUUGUGAAGGAUUAAAUUGAAUUUUUAAAAUUUUAAGGGGCCAAAAUAUAAUUUUACCUUUACUAAUUUAAAAUUUUUAAAAAAUUUUAAGGACCUAAAUAAUAAUUUUACAUUUUAAGGGGGCCAGGGCCCAUGUCAGCCCCCCUGGCUUCAUCCCUAAGUUUAUGCAACAUUUAGGUUUAUUCUUUGGGAGUAAGCCCAUGGACUCUUUGAUAAAUUUUGUUAAAAAUUUAUAUCUCAUACUAAAUUUGGAUUGAUAAAUGAGUACAUACUAAUAUCAUUUUUUCUUAGUAUAAUUACAUAAGUCAAUUAAAUUUAAAAGGUGUAAUAUCAAAUUUAGUUUUAAAUAUUUAUAUAUUUUGUCAAAUUGAUAUUUUUCAGUUAAAUUUGACUUUUAUUUUUUUUUGAAGAGUCAAAUUUGAUCAUUAACCCUUAAAAAAAAGUUGAACUGCCGAUUGAGUCUUAGCUCAGUUGGCAUCAACAUCGUUGCCAGUACGGGAGGACGUGGGUUUGAGUGCGCUAAAAUGCCUUAUCCUCUAAUUCAAGAUUUGGGAAGCAGCUAUGAGUAGUUCUAGAUAUCGUAUCAAAAACCAAAUAUUAGGAAUCGUGAUACUACGCUCAUAUGAAAGGAAGUAAAUAAAAAAAAAUUGAUUUGUUAUUUUUAAAAUUUUUAAACAUUACAACCCGCAUGACAAUCCGUGUAAACUUCGUGUUAUUUUUUAAAAAAAUUUAUAUAUAUUUUUGAAUAUUUUUAGAAAUUUUAACUUAUUUGAUGAAAUAACAUAUAAGACAAAUAUUAUUAUGUCAAUGUGAAGUACAUUCGGGUUGCCACGCUAAUAUCAUUAAAAAAUAUGUUUUAAUCAACAUUUUUGUCAAAAAAAACUAUUUGACUUUUGUAAUAGGUCAAUUUUGGCCUGGCCUAAUUUUGAAAAUAGUAAAGCCAACCAAAUAAUAAAAGUCCAAAGCUUCAACAGUCCAAUUUAUACAUUAAAAUGGCCUAAAUUAAAAAAUACUCAAAACCCAAUAACAUACCCAAACCUAUCCUACCCAAUUUACAAGGCCUAAGCUAAACCCUAGCCCACUAGCUAUCAAACUUUUCAGCCAACAAACCCUAGCCUCCUUCAACUUAACUAGCGCUGCACGCCACCCUCGGCUCUGCCACCGCUGUUCGGCUUGCCUCCACGUGGUUAUGACACCUGCAAAAUGAAGCAAACACGCAAGACAGAAGUAGACAAUGAGAAAACGACAAAAAUAGAACAAACAAAUAGUUUGUAAUGGUCUACAAAAACAAUGAUGGGCAUUUGUUUUUUUCUUCUUCGGCUUCUUUUAAAAAAACGCAUGUAUACAAACGAAUAAGAGAUAUACAGAGAGAUUAAAAAGGUGAUUUUCUUUGGUGAUUUUGGCUUCGUUCUUGUUUAUUCUAAUUGCUUUUCUUUUUUUUUAAAUACGAUAAUAAUAUAGUAGUAAAAUAAAGGGGGAAAGAAAACUUACCAUGUUGAUGGCCAUUCUCCAUUCGGGUCAAAUCGGAAAAGGAGAAGAAACAUGCGUUUCUUGGUUGCUCCGCCGAUUUUGGCCAUGUUCUUGGAGUUUUGGCCUUGGAUCUAUGCUUUAUAGAUGAUGGGCUCCAAAAAUCGGUGAGAAAGGUGGGUUUAUAGGUCUCCGGCCACUGUAUAAGGCGGAACCAUGGCAAAGUUGACCGGACUUGCUUCACCGGGGAUUGGGGGUUCUUAAGAGAGGAUUUCCUUUCUUAGGUUUUUUUUUUUUAAUUGUGAAGUGAAAUGUUUUAAACAAAAAAAAUAAACAUGGUUCUUAUAGAACUAUAAAACAACGCCGUUUGGGUAAAGGAGAAGGGGUCUGUGCGCCUAAAAUGAGUGAUUUGCAUGGCCAAUCCUUCUCUUUUGUACUGCUAUUGGAUUAGGCCACCUGUUCUUCUUUUUGUUUUUUUUUAAAUCUGGCCCAGGAAUUUUAUGUCAAUUUCAUUCUAAUCUGCAUUUAAACGCUUCAUUUCGGGAUUUGGUUUAUUUGCAUUUCUAAUCCCCCUCCUUUACGCACAUUUCACUUCAGUCCCAAUCUAUUUAUCGGUUUAUUACGAUUUAGACCCGGAACUCCGUCUUAAUCCCGAUUUAAUCAUUUGCUUAAUUUUAACCCUUUUUAUGAAUCCAUUUUAUUUUAAUAUUAUUUAUUUAUUUAUUAUUGCUAGCUUUCACUUUUCUUUUAAAAAAUAUAUAUCGUGUAUACAUACAUUAUUAUAUUGUCAUCUUAUCUUCAUUAUAUUGUAUUCUUUUUUGUUUUCUUUUGUUUUAUUUAUUAUAAAUCUUUCAUAAUAUUUAUUUUGAACAGUUUUAUUAUUAUAUAUUUUAAGUUUUUUUCAUAUGGUAUUUGUUUUAAAUUAUUUUACCAUAUUAUUUAUUUUAAUUUGUUUUGUAUUAUUAUUUUAAAUUAUUUUAUAUAUUAUUUACUUUAAAUUGCUUUAUAAAUUAUUUAUUUCAAAUUAAUUUAUACUUUAUUUUAAAAUAUAUAUAUUAUUUAUCUUGAACCAUUUUAAAUUUCUUCCAUAAGUUAUUUCUUUAAAAUUUAUAUUAUUUCAUGUCAAGUGGUUUCAUAUAGCUCUAAUUUAAAUUGUUUUAUACUUUAUUGGUUUUAAGUUGCUACAUAUAUUGUUGUUUUAAGUCAUUUUCAUGUUGACUAUCUUAAUUUGUUCCAUGUAUUAUUUCCUUCAUCAUAUUUUACAAUUGUUUCUUAUUUUCUUUUAUUUUGCCUUUGUGUUUAUUUAUUUUAAUCAUUUAUUAAUUUAGAUUUCAUCAUUGUUAUCAUUUUUAUUAUUAUUUUUGUGUCGUUAUCUUAUGUUAGUUAUUUUAUUUCUUAUUUGGUCGUUCAUAUCAAAUAGUACAAAUUAUGUGAUUAUUGUGAACCGUUUUUAGUAUAUUCACAUUCUUAUUAUUUAUUGACAUAAUAAUCUUAUUCGCAAAUUACCGUUCUAAACAAAAUAAAUACACAUCGUUUUAAAUUUCAUAUUUGCUAUUAUUUCAUAAAAAGAAAAUUCUCUAAUAAAGGCAAUAUUCUGUGUUUGGGAAAUUCGAGAGAUCGUGCUCUAACGUGCUAGGUUUCGAUUUUUUUCGUUUGAUCCAAAUGAUCGAAUAUUCUUUUGAAAUUAAAAUGCAUGAGUUUUGAAAAUCAAAAGACAAACUUAUUCUCGAUAAUUUAAAAUGUCGUGUCCUAACGUGUUGGAUGUGACGUUUAAUUACUUCGAGAUAAGAAGGUCUUUAGCAUCCGCUUCGAUUUAUUCAAAUAUUUUCGUAAAACGAACAUUCAUAAAAAGGGAUCUUAAAAAUUUGAAACAUGCAAUAUUUCGUGUUUGGAAAUUUCGAGAAAUCGUGCCUUACGUGCUGGGUUUUGAUUUAUCGUUUGAUCGAACAAUCGAAUAUCCUUUUUAAAAUUUCAAUGCAUGAGUUUUGUAAAUCAUGAGAUGAUUUUGGUAUCGAAUGUUCGAAAUGUUGUGUCCUACGUGCUGGAUGAGAUAUUUUAUUUUUUCGGAAUAAGAGAAUCUUAAUAUUCACCUCGAGUUAUCCAAACAUUCAUAAAAAGGAUCAUAUUUUAAAAUUUAUUUUAAAAUCUUUUCAACUUUCGGCAUCAAGACAUUAAUUAAUCAAUUAGGUAUCAAUUUUGGGCAUUACGAGGGUGCUAAUCCUUCCUCGUACGUAACCGAUUCCCGAACCCGUUUUCUCAAAUUUCGUAGACCAAAAUCGUUGUUUUAGUAAAUCAAAAUAUUUUAUUAAAAUGAUUAAAUUUCUAGGUGAUCCGAUCACACUUAAAUAAAAAAGAUUGGUGGCGACUCCCAAUUUUUGUUUACCAAUUUCAAAACUAAAGUCGACUCCCGUUUUUCAAAAAAAUGGUUUCGACAACUUUUUUUUGAAAGACAAAUGUACCUGAGAAAUCUCUCUAUAUAGAGAUUUGAUCAAAUUAAUCACUCUACAAUUAAAUGGAUCGAUUUAGUCUUUAUGCUAUUAAAAUAUUUUUAAAAUUUUUAUGGUUCUAUAAAUGAAAUAUUUUAUUUGAAAUUAAAUUGCAAUUAAAAAAUAGUUUUAAGAUAUUUUUUAUACAGUAAGCGUUAGCUCCAUUACAAUUUGACUUAUUUAAUUCUUUUUAAUAGUAUAGGGACUAAAACAAUUUAUUUAAUAACAAAUGACUAAUUUAAUCUCGUCCUUAUAAUACAAGGAUCUCCCAAAUAUUUUAUUUUUUUUAAAAAAUUAAAAAUCAAAUUUAGUAAUAAUUAAAUAAACAAAUUCCAAGAAAAAGGAACUAACUUUAGCAUUGCACCUCUUUAAAAGCAAAGUUUAUAUUGUGUAAUAAAUUUGGAAUGGUGAAAGGAAGAGUAAAGGGAAUAGAUGAAUGGUGCAAAGCAUUUUGUACCCUAAAAUAUGAAAAAGAAAGGGGGCAUAAUCUUCUUCUAUAUUCUUCCCCCUUUAGAUUAUUGAAAUAUAAUCUUACCUUUCUGCCAAAACUUGCCUUUAAUGUCUCUUUCCAUUUGUUUAUAAUUUUCAUUCUCUUCUAUAGAAUGGGAGCCCUCCACCUGUUAUCUAACUUUCCUCUUUCAUUAUUUGGCUUUAUCAGAAGAGUAUAAUAAUUUAAUGUAAAAAAAGUCAAAAUAUUAUCUGAGUACAUAAAAUUUAAGAUUUAAUUUUUAUUUUUAUAAUUGAUUGAGUUUUAAUUUAAUUAGUAUUGAUGUUAUUGUUAGUGUAUGAAUAUGUAGGUUUGAGUACGUUAGAGUGUAUUAUCUUCCUAUUUAAGAGUAAGGGAGAUUUUAUAAAUAGUUUUAGACAUUAUAUAAAAAAGAACAUAUAUAAUAAUAACAACAUAUAAUAAGAUUAGUAUUUAAAAAUUUAAUUACUUUUAUAUUUUUUAUGGUAAUAAGUUGUAAUAAUUUACAUCAUCAAUAUUUAUUGCCAAAUUUUACUUCAAAAUGUUUGCAUGAAUGUAUUAAUGAAUUUUUUGAAAAAAAUAUUAACAUUAAUAAUAAAAUUAAAUCUUAAAACUUUAUUCAAGAAAGGUGAUGCCAAGGGCAACUAGGGUUUUUUUCUCUUAAAAAUUGUAAAGUUAUAGUUUGAUCCAAGUUAAUCAAUACUGUAUCAAAUUACGUAUCAUUUUUAUUUCGAUACCGUUGUGUUUUAAUAUACAAUUUCGAAUUUACCUAUAUUUUAAAAUUAUUUUCAUAUAUACUAUAUAUAUACGCAAAUAUAUUUUAAUUACAUGCACAUAAAAUUUAAUAUUAUUAAUUAAUACCACGUUUGGUUACUAGUAUAAUAACAUGAGGAAAAAUUUUAUUUAACUCAAAUGUAUUACACUAGAUAUAAAAUAAAGAAGAGUUAGCAUAAUCUAAACUUGAAAUUAAGGUGGGGAAAAGAGAGUAAAAACUCUUGUAAAAAGUAAGACAUUUUCAAGUUAAGUACAUAACUUUUUUUUAUAUUUUCCAAAACUAAGUCAUGUGGGUGGCUAAAAAUUGCCAGUUGAAAUUAAUUUAUUACUAACUCAUAUACUAAUACAUGGUGAAAAAAUAAUACUCUUAUUAGACGUAGCACAAGUACAAUAACUUAUUUAAAUAGUUACAAUUUAUUUUUAAAUGUAAUUAUAAAAAAUAAAAUUAAUUAAGAUAAAAAAUAUGAAAACCUUUAACCAACCGAUACACAUCUUAGUAGAAAAAUACUAAAAUGGCACGUACCAAUUGUUACAAUAUCGAUCAGAACAAUUAUUUGAUUUCUCUAAAAAUUAUAAAUUAAUAUAAUAAAAUUAUAAAUAUAUUAGUAAUUUAAUGAUGUAGUUAAAAAAUUAUAACUAAAUAUUAAGGAUUAAAAAGAAUUCCUAACUUCCCCUUAGAUUUGAUAAAAAAGAAUAAUAGUAGUUAGUGGAAGAUAAGAUAUUCCCCCAUGAGAGAAUAAUAUGAAAUUUGACACUUUUGUCUUCUUUCUCUUAUUCUUUGCAACAUUGAGCCAUUGACACCUGUCUCACACACUGUCCAUGAAUGUAUUUUAUAUAAACCUAGUGUUGCUGAAACUAAGACAAUUUACAACACAAUCUCUUCUUCCUUUCCCAUCUCACCUCUGUCAAAAAAAGAAUGUGGAGAAGCAAGAAGAAGAAGAAGAAGAAGAAGAGCUUUAGUAUACCAUUUAUUAUCGGGAUUUAAAUUGCGGUGACGUUAGCAUUAUCGGAAUGAAGUUGACGGUGAUUUAAAUCCUUGAUAACAUUAUAUAUCAUGUAUCCUCUUCUUGUUUCUCUUACAGGAUUUGAAGGGGACAAACACAGGCAAGUCAUUGAGGCAAAGGGAAGGUCAUGCCUUUCUUCCGGAUUUUUACUUUACUUCUUCUUUUUUUCAUAUAUAUUUUUCCUCCUAUGUUUUAAAGGAUAAUUAUUUGACAUAUUGAUGGUAAAAAAUUUUAAUUCCACAAAUUGAGUUGAAAUUUUAUAAUGUAUUAUUAAAUUGUAUUUAAAAAAUUAAAAUAUAAAUAAAACAUAUAUCAAAAUCUCAACUCGUUUGUGCAAUUGAAAAUUUUCACCACUUAUAUAACAAAUAAUUAACCAUGUUUUAAUACAUACUCAUUAAGAUUUCUAGAGCUGUUUGAUUUUCUCAACUUUAUGCUUGUAUAAGUUAUGAAUAAAAAUUGUUUUCAUUAUACAAUUAUAUUUCUCAAUUUCAUUACUAGUUUUUUCUUUUGGGUUAAAUUUUGGUAUUAAUCUUUUUAUUUUGUGAAAGUUGUAGAUUUAAUUUAUGUAUUUAGUCUUUGUAUUUAUUUAUUAAUCUUAAUAUCUGUACUUAUCGAAUUUCGAAAUUUUAGUCAUCACCCAAAGUGUAGCAAUUAAUCUGUUUGGUUAAAUUCAAUUACUAGUCUUAUAUUAUAAAUACAAUUUUAUAUUUAGUUUAUAUUCUCCUAUUGGAUCAUUCUAAAUCCCUAUACCCAAUCUUGAUGCAAAAUGAGUGUCGUUAAUCCAUUAACUGGUUUUUUAAAGAGUAAUAUGUGAAAUUAAUAAGUUGACAUCGCAUUGCAGAUAUGAUAAUAUGUUUGUCACGUCAGAAUUUGAAAAUAGUAAGACUUGAUGAAUUUAACAUAUAUCAUUUAAUGAGGACUGAUAUUUUUAAAAUUUGAAAAAUGCAUGACUAAAAAUACCAAACUAAAAUAUAUAGUUAAAUUCACAACUUUCUCAAUAUAUAAAAACUAAAAAUAGAAUUUAACAUUUUUUUUAUUUCUUUCAAAAUAUAAAAAUUAAAUCCACAACUUUCUUUAAUAUUUAAAUAAUUAAACAAAUAUGAAAUUAAAAAAUUUUAAUUAUUAAAUUUUUUUUUUCAAAUUAUCAAACAACAACCUAAGCCUAUUGGGAUUAGCUUGAGACAACUAGAUAUUUUAGUUUAGAUUAUCCAUGGUUAAUGGAAUCGUGGUUUUUAUUAAAAAAUAUAUAUGUAUAAAUUCUUAAAAAUAUAUUUACAGAAAAACGUAUAGUUAGAAAAUUUUAAUUUAUAUUAGAUUUGACAUACAUGAUCCACAUGGAUCGUGUAAAAAAUAUGACGGUCAAAUUGUUAAAAUAUUUGUUGAUGCACGGUAUUAACAAAGCUGUAAACGGAGGAGAGAGUGUGUCAAAAGAGGCCAAUCCACCUAUUCUAAGGCUGAGAAUUUUGAGUGGAGAAGAAUACUCCCCUUAAUGAUACUUUUUAAGUAUUUAUAGGAAAAUAAAGACUUUUACUUGAUAUGCUAAUAAUAAGCCCUAAAUAACCUAAUAAAAGAUCCAACUAAGUCCAAAUUAAAAUAGAAAUAUAACACUCUUAAUCAUAUAAAAAUUUUAAAAAUAUAUAUAAAAUCACUUAAAUAUUAUAUGGGAGUAAAUAAAUCUCUCCCAUAAUUAAUAACAAAUAAUAUAUUUAUCAAUUCAAAAGUUACAUCCUCGGUUAUUAACCACAAAAAAAUGACACAUAAGAUGCAAAUUUUCCUAAAUUGUAGGUUUAAAAAUCCAUGACUUAUAAUCUUCCGACUUUCUAGGUGUGUUAGAACAUGAAUAUGAAAAAUAAUUUUUUAUAUAUAUUAAAAAAUAAUGUCAGACCUAUAAACUUGGAGAUUCAGGGUCUAUUUGGCAAUGCUUUUGAAAAAUACUUUUAAAAAGUGCUGUAAAAAAGUAAUUUUGAGAAGUACUUUUGAAAAUUUGAGUGUUUGGUAUUGUUCUCAAAAAGUGUUUUUGAGAAAUAAAAUGUCCAUUUUAGACAUGAUAUUAUAAAGUAACAAAUAUGUAUUUAAAUAAUGUUCAAAUUAGUUAAUAUUAUGAUAUUUUAGCAAAAAUAUAAAAAACAAAUAAUUAUAACUUAUUGUUAAUAUUUUAAUAUAUAAUAUUAAUUUUAAAUAUUUCUAAGUAAUUAAUAUUAAUUAUUUAUUAAAUUUAAUUAGAAUAUAUAAACUAUAUUUAAAUAUUUAAAUAUAAUAAUUAAAUAUUUGUAAUUAGAUAUCGACACUAUUGUAUUAUUUUAAAAAUGAUUUUUUUAAUUUUUAAUUAAUGCUUUUAACACAUUUGUAUUAUUUUAUUUUAAAAUGUACUUUGAAUAUAUAACUCAUAUUAAAUAUUAACAUAAUAUAAAAAAUAUAAACUUAGCAAAUUAAAAUAUUACAUAUAUUUAGAUUAAAGUUCAAACAAAAGAAAAAAAAAGGGGAAAAUGGAUUCUAACGUUAGAAAAAAUGGAAAAAAAGGAAAAGAACAAAUAAGGCUAAAAAUGUAAUAUAGCCUCAAAAGCACUUUUGGACUGAAAAAAGCACCAAAAUUUCUCUUUUUCAUCUGAGAAAAAGGACUUUUCUUAAGCUGAAAAGUUUCUUCUUUUUACCUAUGUUAUUUAUUGCUUUUUGUGUAAAAGUACUUUUCUCCCUAAAAGCUCAUCAUAAAAUCAUAUUGUAUAUAAAUUAGAUUCUCAACAUUGGUUUACAUAAGCCUGGGUAAAUUUAUAACAAAACUAUGUACCCCAUUGUCUGAAAGUGGGAAUUGUCACCUACUCAAAAUAAUCAUCUUUAUUUACAGUAAAAGUAUCAUGGAAACCUCCAUACUAAGAGUUAAAUUGUAUUUUGUUAAUGUUAUUAAAAAAGUAUAUAAAUUAAUCUAUUUAUAUUAGAUCAAAUAGCAAAAUGAUCCUUUUGUUAAAAAUUUCAUUUAUUUCUACCGUUAAAAAUUGAUCUUCGCACGUCAACAUGAGGUACACGUGACAUGCCAUACAUCAUUUCCAGUUAUUCCAUUAGCCGCAACAGUUUCUAACAAUACAACUGGAUGAAACUUUUAAUAGAAAUGAUCAAUUUGUUCUGUGAUCUAGUAUAUAAGGACUAAUUUGACCAAAUUUUAAAUAGAGAGAGUAAAAUGUAAUAUGACUCUUGGUACAAGGACGUCCAUGGUACUUUUACCAUUUAUUUACUUUUUUAAUUAUCUUAUUAUUAGUUACAUUCCUCUAUAAGCCCAAACUUUAGGACUUCACUAAUCAAAGUUUAAGUCUCUUUUUCAUUGCCUCAUAAACCAAAUAUGAAAUGCUUGCAGCAGGGACUACCUUGAGGAGAGUUGGUAUUAGUCCUUUGUAGAAUCCUCUAUAACCUUCCUUCCUAUAUGUUCUCCAAAAUACGUCCGAUAUCCCGUUAUACACCGUGUCCGACGUGGUACGUUGUGCUUGCAUUCUGGGAAACAACCCAUAAAUGCAAAUGAUAUUUUAUUAUCUAUAAACAAAUUAUUGGAAAUGGGGACUUGUGUACGUUACGAUCAUACCUUGUUCGAAUAACCUGCAAAGGGUAAAUGCAUGUUGCUCCUAAAGCUCCGGAGAUUGCACCGCAACAUAGAUUCACUAGAGGACCGGGUUCUACAAAACCACGAAAAAUGAGACGAAACUGAAAAAUGAAAAUAAAAAUAUGCAAGACCAAAAUAUUGGAAGUGAACAGAAAAGUACCACUGUCCUGAAGAAUAUGUGUCCUUGAGAAAUCUCUCAAGGUCUCAUAGACGGUGAGGUCGAUACUGGCAUAAGGGAUAAUCCCGAAAAUAGAUGGCACAAGACCUUUGUAAAAUGCUCGAGGUCCCUCUUGAACCCAUAUAUCCCGGGUUAACUUCCCUAGAUGCGGAGCCUUUCCACCUUCGGAAGCACAAGUCUGCAAUCGUAUUUUUACAAGAUCCAUUGGGUAGAUAGUGGAUUGUGCCACUACACCCGCAACACCACCGACAACAAGUUUCCCACCAGCACCUAUAUCACCCUUGUUAUCCCCCAUAUGCUCUCCUAUUACAUCCUUUAGCAUUUCGAAUGUAUAGAACUUGAUAGCACUUUCGGGUGUUACCUUCACGAUAUUUAACCCAUUACCUCGGAAAAAACCCAACAAACCUUCUUCCUUCAAUAUCUUCGUUACUGCAGGCAGAAUACUUGUACGUGUAGUCUGAACCUGCAAAACAACUUUCAGGCGAUCGAAAGGGGCAGUUGCAGUACGAGAAACCGCACCUGCUAUUCCCCCUGCAAUGAGAGACUUGAUUCUGGGAACAUGUUUAUUGAUGCCUUGAGGAAUAACAGCAUGUUCUCCAAUAUCUACAUGGCAAACCCUUUCCCAAUGAUGAUAGAUGUUCUCGACGUUAGCUUCGUGAGGGUAGAGUAAAAGGAAAUCCCUCCAUUCUUCGAAUGUUAUAAUCCCAUUAUUGUCCUUAUCGACAUGCUCCACAAAUUGAGCAAGUUUCUCGUCGUUGAUUUGAAUCCCUACAAAAUACCAACAGCCAGGACUUAUAAGAUGUAAACAAUGGAUUCAUUGCAAUGAUGGUAACAACCAAUUGUUCCACAUCAUGAUCACAAGAACUAUCACGCAUUUUCACUGGAGAAGUUUAUAGGGAUAAAUCAUGGGGGGUAAAACGGGAGCAAAUUCAUCAAUAACAUGCACAACUUCAAGUCUUUGAUACGUUACUUGUUAUGCAAGAAAACGGACAGAUUCUGAAAGAUUCGACCAAGAAGAAAAUGUUUCGAACAUCCAGCAAAACAAAUAGACACAUACUAAUGACAAGAAACUUUACCGGACUAUCACACCAAAUAAACUGAAGCAUGAGUAUAUACCAACAAAAUAUUCUAAAAUAGGACACUGUUUCUACACAAUGGGAAACUCAUCGGGCCCAUGAAGGUUUAUGCCUUCUCAGUCUAUUACCAACAAGCUCGUGGGAGCAUCUUCCCGAGUAUAACUAUUUACCAAAUUCCCUUACAAACUUGAAGAACACAACACAUAACCAUAGUCCAUAUUACCAACUAAAAUACAGCUCUUGUUAAGUUCUACGAUAAUCUCCAUGGUCAACGUUUAUCUAUCGUACUGUGAUUUGCUACCCCAAUGGCCUAAGGACAAAGCUACUAAAUAUCAGAUAGCAAGCGUGAGAUAUCCAACUAAACUUCCAUUAUAGUUAAUGGUUUGUAACUAGACAACAUAGAAAGAUCUGUCAAACCUGGUAAAUGUGUGAUCCAAUCCCUUUAGCAUCAAUAAUUUCACAAAGUUAGCCAAAUGGUAAACUACUAAAAGGUUUUGUACAAAGUAAAAAACAAAUUCUAACAUCUACUUAGCCUGCGGGCGUUUACUAAUGGUUACCAAACAAGAAAUCACACUGCCACCACACACUUACUUUCAGACAACACAAUCCACAUUAACGCUAUAUAUGUUCCUUACAUGUUCCGAGUGGUGGUCCGAGGUACAAGCACUGCAAAAGCAAGUUCUCCGGUCUCCCGACGAUGAAUUUGCAAGCACUUCACAUUCAAAAGAUCGAAAAUGACAUACACUAACCAUAAGUGGUUCAAAGUUUUUAAUGAUUUUCACUAUCAACUCAAUCAAUGCAACUAUAAGACUAAACUGAUCAAACAUAUAAAGGUAAAGACAAACAAAACUAAAACAAUGUAAUAAAGAGAGCAUCAUAGUAUAUUACCAGCUUUAACAAGUGCAUCCCAAAGCUCUUCAGGCAAAAUGCAACCACUAUGUUCCACAUCAAUAGCUUGAAAAAUCCUAUAAAGUUCAAGCUCUUUAUCAUCCAUAUACCUCUUAAACUCAUAAUAAUCUACACACCCAUCUCUGUUUGCAUCACAAACUUUAAAAAGAUCAUUGGCAUACUUAUACUCAGCAGGAAUCUGUAAAGCUGAAAGACCCUUUUCGAUUUGAGUAUAAUCCAAGAAUCCCACAUCAGCUGCAUCGAAAAAACUGAACAAACUACGAAUCCUCAAAUCCCUUUCUUCUUUGGUUUCCCCUAAUGCUAACAGAACAUGUUCCAUUGAAACAGGACCCCUUUUUUUAACCGGGUUGCAACAUUCAGGUUUGGGUUUGGCCCCCAUUUUAGGUAAGCAUGGAGUUUUUGGAAGGAAUAGAACAUUCAUAAAAAAAAAAAAAGAACAACCCUUUUAUUUGGGCAGAAUGAUACAACUAAGAAAUUAAAAACAUUGACUUGAAUUAGUGACAGAAAGAAGGCAAAUGACGUGUAGACUUUUCUCUUGGUAGGUCAAAAAAAGAGGGGGAAAUGGAGUCAAAGUCCCAAAGGAAAUUGCGUAGAACAUCAUAAAUAUAAGUCCAACGCAAUUGCGUAUGGUUUUGAUUUCUAUAAUAAUAAAUUCAAACUCUUAAAAUUUAUAUAUUUUGUAAAUUUGAUUUUAAUUUUAUUGAUUUUUUUAGAAUUAAAGUUAAAAUGAUAAAAUAUAUAAAUACUAAAAACUAAAUUUAUUAUUAUACCAAUCAAAAUUAUUACAAUUGAUGAAAGACAUUAACAUCAAUUAAAUUACUCUAUUUUUUGUUUAGAUGAACUAAUUUACUUUUUUUCAAAAUAAAAGCAAGAACAAAAAUAAAUCAAAUAUAUUUAUAUAUAUAUAAUAUAACAAGAUACACAUAUUAUAAUUUCAACAAGUGGAGCAUCAUGUUUUCUUAUAUAAUUUAUAUAUAUAUUUUUAAAAAUUUAUAAUUUUUUAUUAUCCAUUAAAUUAUAAAAUUUUAUGUUUAAAAUAAUUAAUUAAUUAGAUAAACAUUAAAUAUAUAUUAAAUAUAUUAUAUUACUAAAAAAAUUAGUAUAAUGCACGAAUAAAUUAAUAAAAUGAAUAUUUUAUACCAAUAAUACGAAUAGCAGUUCGAUUUCUCUAAUAAAAUUUUACUAAUAUAGCAUUUAUGAACUAAAAUUUAAUACGAUUAUAAAUUAAAAUUUAUAACAUAUUAUUUACUAAAAUUUUAGUAUAAUUUUUAUUAAAAUAUGUUUAUAUAUCCAUGCACAUUUAGUUUGUAUUUAUUAACAAAGAUAUUAUCAUUUACAUAUUUAAUAAUAUGUUAUGCUAUAAAUAUUAAAAUAUAUGUUUAAUAUGAAUAUUUAGAUUUUCAAUUUAGUAUAUUAAUAAGUAUAAAAUAUUAAAAAUUUAAUAAAUAUUAUACUAAUUAUUAGUAAUUACUACCCGUGAAUAUAUAUUAUGUAUUUUAAUAUAUUAUAUUCAUAUGCAUAAAUUAUUUAUAUUUAUUUUAAUAUAUCUAUUAAAUGAUCAGCCACUGCAUAUGAUUUAGUAUAAAAUAAUUUAAAAUAUUUUUAAUUUAAUAAUUUUGAAUAUAUAUUAUAUUACUUGAUAAAUUAGUAUUCGCCUCUUUAAAAAUUAUUAAAUAAUAUGAAUAAUUCGAAUUAUACAAAUAAUUUAUUGUAUUUAUAAAUAAUCUUUGUAAUAAAUUAACUAAGUAUAAUAUAUUUAAUUAGCUAAGCAAGUGAUAAUCUCUCUUUUUUAUAUUUAAUUUUAUAAGUUUUUAUUUACAUUUCGAAAAUCACAUUUAAGUUUAAAAAAUUUAAAACAGUGCUGAAAAUUUUAUUAGAUAAUAAUUUUAAAUAUUAAGUUAUUAUAAUAAUAAAUAUUAUGUUAUAAUUUUAAUUAGAUAAUCGAAAAUUUAAAAUUUAGAUAAAAAAAUUAAUUAAAUAAUUAUCUAUUUGGUUUAGCUUAAAUAUUUAUUUAUAUAUUUUCUAUAAAAUUAUUUUUCAAAUUUAGUUAAAUAUUUAAUUAAAUAAAAAAUUUAUUUGAAUCUUUUUUUUUACCUUUGAAAUAAUAUCCUUUACAUUCUUUUAAGAUAAUUUUUUUUAACAUUAAUUAUAAUUUACUUUCAAUAAUCAUAAAUCUAUUAAAAUUAUAGUUUGAAAUUUAAAUCAUAAUUAUCUUUAAAUUUUAAUUACCUACCAAUAAUUUUAUAAAUACCAGAGUAACAACUUAAGCGUAAUUUUAUAAAUAGCUCACAUAGCUUGCAAUAGAGGUGUUCAUGGGCUGAGCCUAGCUAAAAAUUUAGGUUUGUUUGUUAGGCCCAAGCCCGACCCAGAUAAAAAUAUUAAAAUUAGGGUCCGGCCUAACCAUAUUAAUUUUUAUAUUAUUUUUAAAUAUAUGUAUACUUAAAUAACACUAAGAUAGAUACAAUUUAACAAGCACAUGCCUCUAAAAUAAUAACAAAACUAACAAUAAAAUAAAAUUUAUACAAUAUCCAAAAAUAAUAACAUAAUAGUAACAACAUAAUCGUAAAAUAGUAGCAAAAUAGAGAGAAAAAAACAAGAAAAAAACAUUAAAAAACAAAACAAAAAGUAAUUUUUUUUAUUCUUUAAUGAAUUUAAGUCAAGCUAAAAAUGCUUUACUCGAAGCCUGACCCUUUUUAAACAGAUUUUAUUUUUUUGUUCAAACUUAUUUUUUGGGCCUUAUUUUUAUCUGAAUCCUCCUACAUUUCGGGCAGGGUAGCUUGCAACGAAAAUUACAAUUUCAAAUAUCACUCAAAUUAUCAUUGUCUUAUAAAUGGUUUACGUCGUGUUUCUUUCACAAUAUUAGUGGUGAAGCUAACCAAGCGACACAUUCACUCUCUCAGUAUGGGUUACUUGCAAAUCCUGCGCAAAUUUGGGUUGAAGAGAUGCCACCAUAUGCCUUUUUCAAUACCUAUAGGUGGAUAAGUUAAAUAUUUUAAUCGGUUGGGGUGUUUCAUGUGGAUUGGGAUUUUUAGGCCUCUUGAUAGUAGAUUUGAUGACCAUUUCUUCUUGGGUUUUGUUUUGCUUGCCUAUCUAUCUUUCUUUUCUAAUUGGGAAGAUUUUAGAUUAAUUUAUGACUACCGCUCAUUUUCUUAAAUGAAAAUAAAUUAAUUUGAAACUUUUAAAUAUGUAUAACUCUUAAGUAAAAAAAAUUAAAUAUAUAUUAAUUACGUAUUUCUAAAAUAAUUUUAAAAUAAAAUAUUUGUGACCCAUUUUAGAAUACUUUAAUAAAAAUAUUAUUUUGACAAAAUUAAAAAAACUUUAUUAUUAUUUAAAAAUACAUGAUAAGGUGAAAACACACUAAUAUUUAUUACAAAGUUGAAAAUGAAUAAUUUCAUCUACCAUUCAAUUGAUGUAAUUUAUUGGAAAAUAUUAAAAUAUAUUUGAAAAUAACAAGAUAAUAAUAAUAAAAAAAGUAACAAUUUUUUAUUGGAUAAGGAUGAGAGGAAAUGAUAUAAAAUUUUAUGCUUAGAAAAUGAAAAUGAAAAUGAAAUCACAAAAGAAAAAUUAGAAGUAAAAGUAAAAGAGUAAUUAAUCAAAAUAAUAAAAUAUAAUUGGAGAUAACAAACUGUGCCCAACUUAGCUAUUCACGCGGGAAUGAGAAAUUUUUUUGAGUUAUCUUCAUAUUUGGUCCCUCAACUUUUGUUAGACUUAUAAUUUAACUCUAAUUUGUUUUAAAUUGUUUCGAUUUAGUGUAAAGUUUGUCUUCUUAAUUUACAGAAAUUAAGGAAUAUUGAUUCCAAUUUGAACUCAUUAUAAGGAUUAUAAUAAGUAUAAAUUUUACUUAUAAUAAGUAUAAAUUUUACUUAUAAUAAAUUUUUAAAUAUACAUAUAUAUAUAUUUAAUUUUCAUUGAAAUACUUUUUUAGCUUAUAAUUGGUAUAAAAUUUUACUUACAUUAAUUUUUAAAAUAAUUAUAACUCUUUAAAAACAUAUUAAAUAAAAAAAUAAAAAAUAUUAUACAAAGUUCAUAAUUCAUUAAUUGUAAAAAUUUAAAAUUUUAAAUAAAAUUUAUACAAUUUUAAUUAAUACAUACAAUUAACUUGUGCAUCAUACGAAUAAGAAAAUUAAUAUUAUAAUAAAUUCAAACAACCAAAAAUAAUGGGGAAGAGAUGAACACCCCCCCCCCCCAAAAAAAGGUUGAUUACAUUACAAUUUACAAUGGCAUAAUGAUUCAUUUAGCCUUCUAACUUUAUAAAAAAAAUCAUUUUAACCUUUAAACUUGUAUUAUUUGUCAAAUCACCCUAAAAUAAAUGAAAAAGUUAGCUGAUAAUGCUCUAGAAUAACGUAUUUUUAUGUAUUGAUCAUGUGUUUAUUCUGGGCUUCAUCCUACAAAUUUGAGCUAUUUAUGCCUUUUUAUCGAUUAGGGACUGAUUUGGAGGCAAAAGUAAAAUUAAGGGACAAAAGUGCGAAUUUGGAGACACAAUGGGCUGAUAUGCGACACAGGAAAAAGAUUGUGCCAAAAGUGAGAGCAUAGAAGAUACAAGGACUAAAAACGCAAAAAGAAGAGAUUUUAUUUUAUAAGACUUUAUUUUAUUUAUAUUAGGAUAAUUAAUAUUAAGAUAAUUAUUAGGAUUAUUUAAUUUUAGGAUUUUAUUUUAAUUAUCUUUAUUUAUUUUUAAUUAAAUGUAUUUAUCUUUUUAGAAUUUAAGUUAAAUUAGACUAUCGUCCUAGCACUAUAAAUAGGAGUGAAGUGACUCUAUUUUGAGUGUUCAUCUUUUUCUGUAAACACUCUCCCCCUAAAAGUCUAGGCUUUUAUUUCUUCAUAUUUUCUUUGAAUAAAAUUCCCUUUUCCAUUUUUAUAUUUAUUUUCUUUUCCGCCAUUACCAUGAGCCACUAAAACCUAUCUAGCCGAAGGUUAUUAAUAUUCCCCAAAAAGGGUUCUUGAGGCCUAGAAUCCUUGCUUAGCCUUCUCGCCAAGUAUUCAUCGUUUCUUCGCACUACGGGCUGACGCUUUUGUCCAUGGCCCUUAAGAAGUAAGCUUUUCAACAUAUGCAAAGGUGGCCGCUUUGUAUGUUUUAGAAGGAUUGCAUAGUCGGUUCGUUAACUUACUGCGUCAGAGGUUGGUGAGCCAAAGAGACAAAAUGACGUGGGAUUCGCCAUUGAGAAGCGUUGAUCUAGCAUAGGUUACUGGCUAGAAUCAGGUUCCCUAAAAAUCGUAAGUCUAAUCUUUGGAGCUGGUGGUCGUAGGCGUCUUAUUCCAUUAUAACUGACUUACUUGAGUUGAGAAGGGUUAUUUAAAAGCCGAGGAUUGAACCCAAGGCGGAAUGAGACAACUGGAGGCUGAAAUCUACCAAUAAGAAUUUAUUUUCCUUUAACUCUCUUUAUUAUUUUUAUUAUUUUUGUAAUCAUAAUUUCAGUCAACUUUAAAUUCUGUUUUUAUUUCCAGAUUCUUAAUUCUAUUUUUUAUUUUUCAGGAACGCAGGUUUUCUUGGCCAAGAAAUUGUCCAGGAUUUCAAGAAACGAGCAUUCGUACAAUCCGGUCCCUGAGGAUCCUACUUCCCCUUUACUAUUAUUUUUACUAUUAAUUUUACUAUUUUACAGGGAAUAAGAUAUUUUUUGUGCUCUCAACGACCGCAUCAUUAGCGUUGGUUAACUUUGCUGGUGUGGCAUUCACAUGGCAGUCCACGUGUAUGCCAUGUUAGCAAAGUUAACAAACGUUAAUUUUUUCAUCAACUUUAGUGUGAUUUGACAAAUAGUGUAAGCUUAAGAGCUAAAAGAAGUGAAAAUUAAAUGAAGGGCUAAUGUUGGAAAAAAAAAAAAGGAAGUCAGAUGUUAAACACUAUUAUUUAAAAUUCAUGUCACUGUUAAAGGUGCCAAAAAUGCCUUAGUUCAUGAAUUUUAUAUGAAGCAGUUGGUAUUUGAUUUUGUCCUUUCUUUUCUUUUAAUUAAGAUGACUUUAUCUAUAUUUUUCAAUUUUCGUAAGCAACAUAUAUUAGACAUUAUAUAAGUAUAUAAUCCUCUAAAUUUGGAACAUUCAAACAACUUUACACUACAACCAAGAGUUAUAUUAUUCAUGCCUAUGCAUCACUACAACCAAGAGUUACAUUAUUCAUGCCUAUGUAUCACUACAACCAAGAGUUACAUUAUUCAUGCCUAUGUAUCACUAAUUUCACAAACAAAAUUAUUGGAAUUCAUAUAUUUUUAAUAACAAAAUUACUUGAGCAAUGGCUCAUUGACUAAGCCAUUGUCUCGGCCACCAAUAUGUAGAAUAGCCCCAUAACUCCAGUAUGCUGUUUGAUACUACUGUAAUUAGACUCUAAAAUUAGAGUCUCCCCUUUUGAUAUUUUCUUAGUUCCUGGUUUAGGGUAGCAGGUCGACAUUCCCACGAUAUAACCAUUUUCGUUUCCAGCUUCCUCUCCUGUCCCGUAAAUCGGUAUCGAAGAGCAUAAACUCCGGCCGUCCUAAAAUCAUUGUACGAAAACAUGCACAUCACGACAUUAGAAGAAGACAUUAUAUUACUAAAAUUCACUAGAUGAUCGCAUUGGACUAAAGUUGUUAAUUUUUUACUUUACUUGAUUAACUCGAAUCUAAAUUUAAUUUAACUUAAUUUAAUAAUUAAAAGUCAGUAACUUUAACUUAAAAUGAUUCAAAUCAUAAAUUAUCUAAAUUUGGGAUAAUUUAAACUUGAAAUAAUCUAAAUUAAGUGUCAAGCCCGAAUGAAAAAAAUUCAAAAUGAUCCAAACCUAAAAUGACAUAACCCGAAAAACCUUGAAUGACCCAAACCCAUAUAUGAAUGAAACAAAAAACAACUCAAACCUUGAAUGACCAAAACUUUAAAUGACCCCCAAAAAAUAAUCUAAAAUUAUCUUAAGGGUUAAACCUGAAUACCAAAUUGAAAUAACAUGAACUAAAUGUCAAAAUUGAAUGAUUGAACUAGAAAUAACUCAGCCCAACAAAACUCAAAUGACCCAAAUUCAAAGCUGACUCUAAUUAUAUUUGAUCCAAAUUCAAAAGAAUUCAAACUAGAAUUAACCUAAAUCCAAAAUAAUCUAUUAAAUUGAAGCAAAAUCAACCUAUCCUAUUAAAUUUAUAGAUAUGCAUUGAACACAUAAAUUUCUUUUUAAGUACCAGGUUAGCAUUCUUAUAAAAUUUAUGGGAAUUGACCAUUGUAUUUUGGAUAAUUUAUGCAUAUGCAUGCAAAAGGAAUUUCAUUACCUUCCCAUAGAGAGCAGAACCAGUGCCGCCCGCAUGCUGGUGUGCAACACCAUAUACCAAAUAACCACCAAAUGGCAUGUCGAGACUAACGCUUUCGGCGUCAAUGCAUUUGUCGUUUUCCGAUCCCGUGGCACGACAAGAUUCAACUUGAUACUCCACCUGCAUAAUUGUAUUCAUCACCAUCAUAAUCAAGAAUAAAUUUGAUUUCACGAAAAAAAUUGUUAUAUUAAAUAAACAAAUUGUUAUAUCAAAUAAACAUUUUAAUUACCUGGCAAUUGUGCUCUGAAUUAAUCCCAGUUGAAUUACGAGAUCUCUUCCAAAUAUCAGAAACAUCGAAUAUAUAAACAUUCACCGGUACAAUUAAGCUAUUCAUAUCGACCCACUUCACGAUGUAUUGAAGGUAAAGGGUUCUUUCGAUGCCAAUAAACCCAUCUUUCAACCUACAUUUUGUGCCAUCAUAGCAACAUAAUAGUCCCCCAUCAUAAUUUGGGCUCAAAGGUGUUCCAUUUUCCUCCUUGGUAACAUUAUACAAAUUGCACCGACAUUCGGUACAUCCCAUCCUAUCUUCCACUCCCCUUGUAUCGAUAGCAUGGACGUUCAACCCCCAUGUUUCUACAAACCCUGAUGGAAUCUUAGUAGGGCUACCGAUUUCUAUCCCAUAAGGAUCAGGGAUAUGAGUCUUAGUUCUUCGUGUCUCGGAACCGAGACCAAAAAAUUGAUCAAGUGCUCCAUCUUGACAUAUUCCGCUAUUUCUCCCAGAAAUAUAAUCUGAACUGUUGAGCUUUGAAAUGUCUUGAUUUUCCAAACCUUUACGUACAUAGAAUUUAAGAACUAGCCAAUGAUGCAAGUAAGUAUCAUACAAUGGAACUGGAUUCCCACUUUCAUCAAUAAUCUCAGCAUCGAAACUUUUCAAGGCAAUAUGACCUCUCGGAAAAUCGAUAUUCGAAAAAAGUUUAUUCGCUACCGAUCCCGGCCCGAGCACGAUCUGAGGUGAUCGGAAAACGCCAGUUCUUACCUUAUGUUGUUUACUCCGAGAGGCUUGUGAAAAUGGUAGAGCUGAAAUUAACAAAAUUGCAACAAAAAGUAACCAUCCAAGAUUGAAAGUCUUCAUUUCCCUGUCAAAUCAAUAUCUUGAGUUAAAACAUAUAAUCCCUAGUUAAAUAUUUCAAUGGAGCCAAAUUUUAUAAAAUUAUAUAAAAUAAGAAAAAUUGUUAGUGUUAUUGUAUGAAAUGAACCAAAAGGGUCAUUUGAAUAUUCACCUUUUUUGCCAAAUUAUUUUCAUAGUCAUCGAGUAUGAUUUUGAAGGCCAAAUGCAACAAGUAUAAAUUUGAAAUCAUAAAUAUAUAAUAUACAUACGAAAAAACAGAAGAAGCAAAUUUUCAAAAAACUGACCCUUCAUGGUGCAUUAUACAUAAUAAAUAUAUAAAUAAAUUGUUGAAUGCUUUAUUUAAGAAAAAGGUAAAUUAUAUUAAUAUUCAUUUAAUUAUGUUUUUCUUUCUAAUCCGAUUAUAAAAAGUUAUAAAAUAAUCAUUCAAUUAUUAGUAAGUUUCUUUUUUAGUCACUAAAUUAUAAAAAAUUACAAAAUAGUUAUUCAACUAUUCAAUUGUCUUUUUUGUCACCUAAAUAUUUUUGUAUUUUUUUUUUGUUUUUGUUUUUUUUAGAACAAUCUCAUUAUAGGUUCUAAUUAUAUUAUUCUUUUUGAUAUAAUGCCUAGAACUGCACAUAUAUCUUCCCCAAUCUAUAAAUAGUAGGACAAUGCAUUCCAGCGUACUCAAACCUACAUCCUCUUGCAUUGACAACAAUAUUCAUGCCAACCAAAUUAAGACUCAAUCGAGCUUGUGUUUCCAUUUUUACUAAAAGAAAAAAUCAAGUACUAAAAGAACUUGAAUUCGAUUUGAUUAAUAACUCGAAUCCAACUAAAUUACUACUUGAUCGAAUUCAUUUUUUUCGACAGGAAACAAAAAUUAAAGCGACUAGAAUCGAACUGAAAAAAUCAGAAGGAAAAAGAAAAGCAACGUACCUCAACAUUUUGAGAUUAUUUUCUUCACCAACUAAUGCUUGCUAUAUUUCAACGUUGAAGUUGAUCAAAUAUCCUGAGUUUUAGUUCAAUAUAUAUACAUACACAUUUUAAUUAAUUAAUUAGAGAUAGUGACAGGGUAGCAUAUGAGACUUGGCUUCCUGUUUUUGACUUUUCUCAAGUGUAUUUUGAUGCUAAUAUUUUAAAGCAAAUUUCACAUUAAAGAAAACCCUUCAAAAGUGGCUGCUGCCGAGGUAACUUGCUCAGCAAGCAACAGAGUCUUACUAUUUUGACUUUUCAAUAUUAUAAGAAUAUUCCGCCUGAACCGUUUGAACCUGAAAAAGGUCUAUCUUGGGUUUCAAUGACUGUACUCUUUCAAUUUUUAAAAUUUAAUCUCGACUUUUCAAAUAUUCAACUCUUCUACUUAUUUGAUUUAAAAAAUAAACUUCAAUUGAAAAGGGUGAAAAUGGACUUGUAUUAAGACACAUUAUCAAUAAAUUAAUAAAUAAUUUUAUAAAAUCAUUAAAAGUAAAUAUAAUCAUUAUUUUCUUUAACAAGUAGCAUCUUAAGAUUCAUUGAUAAUAUAUAAAUCAAAUAAAUAAUCUAUAUUAGCAAAUUUAAAAUACUAAGAUGCCACAUAUUAAAACUUAAUAGAAGUCCAUUAAUAGUAUUAGCGAUGGAAUUUUAAUAGUAAAAAAAAUUAUAUGGUCACUCUUAACUUUUUAUAUUGAGUAAAUCGAUUCUUAUAAAAAAAAUUACAACGUUAAUAUUUUUCUCAAUUGUGCAUAUUUUUAUUGGUAUAAUAACAAAUUUAACACUCAAAUUUUAUAAUAUCGAAAUUAAAAUUUUAUUUUAAUUUUUAAAUUAAAUAAAGAGAUUCAAUUUCUAAAUAACUUCUAAGGUCACGUCAGUAGGAAGAGAAGAAAAGUUUAAUUUUUAAACUCGUGUUUAACUAAUAGUAUAAAUCAAAGAUGCAUGAUUGAGAAGGGUUUUUAAGAAAACGAAUCUGAGUUAAGAAAAAUAAAAGGUGAGAUUUAUAACACAAUAGAUAAGUCUUAUUUUAAUGUUCAAACUUCUCAACUUGUUUCAUUGACUUUAUUUUUUAAUUAUAUUGAUUGUGCUUCGUCCAAAAAAAAAAUUACAAAAUUACACUGCUUACAAGACAUGACAAAAAUGAAGGGCAUUAAAGUUUAUUCUUAGAGAUAGUCAAAGAUGCUUAAGUUAAAUCGAAGAAUAAGAUAAUUUUUUUAAAAAAAAUGGUUUAGGAUUGAAAAAUAAAUUAUAAAUUUUUGGGAGAUUAAUAUGUAAUUUUAUAAAAUUUUAAGGGUUAAAAUAAUAAAUUUAUUAUUUUUAAACCACGAUCUAUCCUUUGUUUUCACCCAUGUCAAGAGUUUAAAUAAGGAAUGAUAAAUUACACCAAUAGUCAUUUUGAUUUCAAGUCAAACACUCGACUUUCGAAAAGUAACAAAUCAGUCACUAAUAUUAUUGAAAAGUGACAAAUCAGUCACUCAUUAACAUUUUCUGUUAUAGGCCUAAUAGAACAGCUGGCAUGGCUAGUUAACUUGCCACGUUAGAUGAUGAGCCAAAGGAUAUAAGGUUUAGACGAGUUUAAAGAAAAGAAAAGAAAAGAUGGAUUGAUUGAUUUAGGGUAAAAAGAGAAAAGAUCAAUUGGGUCUUACUUUUCUCCUUCUCCUUAUCUUUCUUCUUCUUUUUCUUUUCUAUUUUCUCUUCGUCUUCUUUUACCACCUCUUUAUCAUUAUGUUUUUCUUUUUUCUUCAUCUUUGCCACAUCGUCUUUUUUUUUCUUCUUCUUCUUCUUUUUAUGUUAUCAUCACCUUCUUCAACUUUGUACAUCUUCUCAUUUUUCUCUUUUUUUUUCUCCUUUUUAUUAUUCAUUUCUCCAAUUUCACUAUCCUCUUGUUUUUCUUUAUCAUUCUCUUUAUGUUUCUCCCCCUUAUCCUCCUUAUGCUUCGACUUUUCCUUCUCCAUUGAUUUGGUCAUCAAUUUAAGUUCAACCUCAGCCUUCUCUUUAUUCUCAUGGUUUGGCUCCAUAUCUUUCACCUUCACUUUGAAAUGCAGUUCUUCCUUUUUCACAUUUUUUUCUCUAUUGACAAUCGAUUCAAAUGUACCUCGCAAUUCAAAACCCUUUGCCACAAAUUGAAACUCAAAUGUACGUACUUCAUGAUUUUUCAGCAAGUUCCCGAAAAGAAUGCCAGAUAUAAAUAAGCAUGGAAAAAAUACAAUCAAACAUGAACAGCCUAUAGGAUUCAUUAAAAGACACAACAUGAUGGUUGGUAUAUUACAACUACUAGCAUUACACAUAAAAGCAAGUUUAGCACAAAACUUCUGAUAGUAGAAGCAUGAUGUUCAAAGUUUCAAACAGAAAAGUGAUCUGGCUUUUAUGCAAUGAUGAAUUUGUGUCAUCCAACUAACUUGAUUCCGAAUACUUUCACUACCAUCAUAUGUUGACAGGAAGUUAAAUGGCAUUUCAACUGAAUGACAAUGAGAAGGAGAAAAGUAAAGACCCUCCAACUGGCCAGUUAAAUGACAGCAAGCAUCUUGUUAAAUGCUAAGUCACUUUUCCAUUAUGUUUGUAACGGUAAAUAGUUAGUAGGACUGAUUUGUUAUUUUUCGAAAGUCGAGUGAUUGAAUUGAAACCAAAGUGAUAGCUUUGUCAGUUGCAUCAAAGUUGAGUGACUGUUAGUGUAAUUUACCCUUUAAAUAAUGGCAAGAAAAAGAGAUUGUAUGUAGCUUUUAUUCCUAGUUUAGGGUUAUCUAAAGAAUUUUUUGACUUCUAUAAAUGCAUUAAGGUUGGGUGAUAAGUGAUAAAAGUAACAUGUUUUAACCCCAUUCUUAAUGCAUUUUUGGAUAAUUAUUCGAUGUAAAAUGGUGAAUUUUAUGCUUCUAAUCUUUUAAAUUUAUGUUUUUAUACUUAGGAGAGCAUUUUGGAGCAAAAUGAGCAAAAAAUGAGCAAAAAUUGGAGCAAGUUCCACGAGCCACACGGGUUGGACCCUCUCACACGAGCUAGGCACACAGCCGUGUGAGCCACACGGGCUGCCACACGUCCAUGUGCCAGCCCAUGUGGAUUUCGCGAAUCAAAUUCUGGACACGAGAAAGAAAUGCAAUUUUUAGGUUUUCGGGCAUUCUAAGACUUACAUAUACCUAAUAUAAGAAGAGAGGAGGAAGCCGUUAGAGAUUUUUGAAGAGAACAACUCGGAAAACACCUUUGAAGCUGACUUGGAAGCAAAUUUCCAUCAAGAUUGAAGAUCUCAUUUUGGUUUUUUUUGAAAUUUAUUACGUGUUUAUUUAUUUCUUGUAGUUAUACUGUCUCUAAGAUGUUUUUAUUUGCGAUUAUGAACUAAUUUUCUAAAUACCUAGGGGAGAUGAACCCUAUGGUGAAUUCUGUCUUUUAAUUUUUAUUUUACGCAAUAAAUACUUGGAUCUUGUUCUCAAUUUUGCCAGCUUUAUUCUUGGUUUAAUAUUUCUGGACUAUUUAUCCAUGUUUGAUGUUCUUGAAUAGAGGGGGAAAAGUCACUGUUUAAGAGUAGAUCUGGCAUAAUUGAGUAGAGUUUCAUGCAAUCCUAGAAAUAGGAUGAUAUAAAUUUACUAGAUUAGAGUCAAAUCUAAUAAAGGGAUACAUAGAUUGAGUUAAUACGACAAUAAGGGUUUUAAUUAGAAAGAAAUUUCAAUUAAUCAACCUAGAGUCAGUUGCUCUUUGUCUUGAAAGAGAUAUUAGUAUAAUUUAGAGAUUUCUACUAAUCAAGAUAUUGAGUGAAGAAAUUGUUUAAUUCAGAUUGAUAAUGAUAGAUGAAAUCUAGGUGAAUUCUUUCUUGGGUAUUGUUUUGCUUCUUGGUUGUUAAUCGUUUGUUUUCUUGAUUUAUUCUGUAAUAGCCUAAAUUCAAGGUUAUCGAAACAGUGGUUUUGUAACCACAAAUCCGAUUUAAAGAGAAAUUAUUUAAAAAAUUAUUGCAUGAAUAUUAAUAUAAUAGGAAAAUAAUAUGAAAAUAUUGAUAGAAAAAUUUUACCGAUUUAGUGGUUAGUUAGAAAAAGGAAUUAUUGAAGGAAUUAAGUAAAAACAAGGUAUCGAGACCUUGAUCUCGCAAAAUUGAGUAGAAAAUAUUUUUAUAAAUAUUUAUAAAAUGUUAGUAAUGUGGUAUUAAAAUUUCGUUAGAAAAUUUUAACGCUUGGGUAGGUAAUUAAAUGAAAAGGACUAAAUUGGAAAAGGUAUAAAAGUUGCUAGAAUGAUUAAAUAGCUUAAGUGUCUAAUGAGAAAGGAUUUAAAAGGAAAUUAGACCCAAAAUUUAUUUGGGCUGGACGACAAGGGCAUGAAAUCAGCAAGAAAAUUGAUGAUUUAAGGGCAAAAUUGGAAUAUUGCAUAAUUAACUAAAUAAAUAUAGGACUAAAUAGGAAAUAUCUAGAUUUCUCUUCAUUUUUCUUCAUUCUCAUCAGCCAAAAUGCAAUAGGAGGGGUUCUUUAAGCUGGUAUUCCAUAAUUUUUGCACCAAAUCCAGAAGAUUCAAAUACGAAGCUAGAUCGAGGAAAGAAAAAAGUUCGAGAUUAAUAGAUUUUUGUACAGGAACAAUUAUCAAGGUAAGUUCAUGUAACUUGAAUUAUAUUCUUAAAUGCUUGAAAUGUAUGUUUUUUAUAUGAAUAUGAUUUGAAUGUUCAUUAUAUGAAAAUUUAUGAAACAUUGACAUAUUUGAUAAAAGGGGAAGAAAUCCCGGUUGAAUGAAAGGAAAAUUCGAUGGAUCUCUGAAAAGGAAUUGACGGUAAAAAAGAUCUACCCCGGACGGGUGACCCUAUCCUAAUUUAGCCCUCCUGAAGAAUAUGUGGAAAAUGGAUUUAGCCCGGAUGGGUAAUCCGAAUUAGGGUCUGAAUUUAGCCUGGAUUGGUAAUUCAGAUCUAAACUCAUUUGAGUAAUUGUCGUUGCAAGGGAUUUAGCCUGGACUGGUAAUCCCGACAAUACUCUAUGAGUUUAUAUUGCAGGGGAUUUAGCUUGGAAUGGUAAUCCCGCUGCAAGGCUGAGGUUCGCGGGAGUGUGCUCUUUGAAAUGAAAAUGUGCGCUCAUAAAUAUGAUUUGACGGACCCGGAAUUGUACACUAAAAAUGUACCUCUGAAAAAUCUAUCGAAAUUCCGAUAAAUUCAACGGGAUAAAUAUGGAAAAAUAACAAGGAAAUGGAAAUCAUGGUAUUGAUGAGCACAUCAAUCAUGGUAUAUAUAUUAUUGAUACAUGAAAAUUAUUGUACUAACUUGAAUGUUGAGUUUGUGCAUGUUAGGGUAAUAAUGCAUUGAAUGGAUAUUUGAAUGUUUAUUGCAUUGUAUUGAAAAUAUUAGUUAAGUAUAAUUCUUAUUACAUGAGCUUACUAAGCACAAAGUGCUUACCCUGUUUCAUUUUCCCCUGUUUUGUAGUGUUAAGAGCUCGGAGGUCGGAUUUGGUCGGAGACGCAUAACACUAUCAACCUCAGGAUUUCGAUAUAUAAAGAAACUUUAUUUUGGAAAUCAAUGGCAUGUAUAAGCUAAUAAAGUAAAUGAUUCUGUAAAAUGAAUGUAAGGUCAGCCAAUGGUAUGGCUAACAAAUAUUGGUUUUGAUGUGUGAUGAGGUUAUCUUAUAAAUAUGCAUGAAUCUAUCUUGAAAAUAUGUUAAAUUGGAUUGGUUGAUUUUUAAUGAGUUUCGGUUUAAAAUUGAAGGUGUUGGCACCCCAUGUAAUCUCACAAUUUCUGACACAUAUAAUUCCGCUAACUUAUCAAGCGAAAAAUCUGUUCUGACUGGAAUAAAAUACGCCGACUUAGUUAAUCUGUCUACUAUCACCCAAAUCGAAUCUUUUUUCUUCGGAGUCACUGGCAACCCAGAUACAAAAUCCAUCGUCACAUGUUCCCACUUCCAUUCUGGAAUCAUUAUGGGUUGUAACAAACCUGUAGGCACUUGAUGUUCAGCUUUUACCUGUUGACAGAUUAAACAUUUUGCCACAAAUUCACAAAUUUCCCGUUUCAUACCAGGCCACCAAUACAUUUUCUUCAAAUCACAAUACAUCUUCGUACUACCCGGAUGAAUCGAGUACAUACUACUAUGAGCCUCUGAUAAGAUAUCCUUCUUCAAUUCUAAAUUAUUUGGGACACAAAUUCUAUUACGAUAGUAUAACAUACCACUAUUAUCAAUAGAGUACUCUAAGUUCAAAUUAUCCCGAACCAUUUGUCGUUUCAAUACCAACUUCAGAUCUUCAUAUUGCAACUCCCGAAUUCGUUGAAAGAAUAUUGGUUUUGUCUUUAAUUCAGCUAACACAGAACCAUCUUAAUUAACAGACAAAUGAGCAUUUAACGCCCGAAGAGCAAAUAAUAAUGAUUUCCGACUAAGUGCAUCUGCCACUACAUUUGCCUUACCCGGAUGAUAAUCAAUGAGAAGAUCGUAAUCUUUCAACAGCUCUAACCAUCGCCUCUGUCUCAAGUUCAGCUCUUUCUGUGACAUUAAAUAUUUCAAACUUUUAUGGUCUGUAUACACAUAACAUUUCUCUCCAUAUAGGUAGUGUUUCCAAAUUUUUAAAGCAAAUACUAUGGCAGCUAAUUCAAGAUCAUGUGUAGGGUAAUUCCUCUCAUGUGGUUUCAACUGUCGAGAAGCAUAUGCUACAACUUUUCCUAACUGCAUCAGUACACAACCUAAACCAUUCAGAGACGCAUCACUAUAUACUACAUAUGGCACACCUGAUUCAGGCUGAGUUAAGACUGGAGCUUCUGUCAACAUUUUCUUUAAUUGAUCAAAACUUCGUUGGCACUCAUCAGACCAUACAAAUUCAACAUUCUUCUGUAAUAAUCGGGUUAUCGGUGAAGCAAUCAGUGAAAAGUCUUUCAUAAAUCGGUGAUAGUAACCAGCUAAUCCAAGAAAACUUCGCACUUCCGUAAUAUUCUUUGGAGUUUUCCAAUUAAUCACCGCUAACACCUUACUCGGAUCUACCCGUAUACCAUCAACUGACACAAUGUGACCCAAGAAUCCUACUUCAUGAAGCCAAAAUUCACAUUUACUAAAUUUUGCAUAUAACUGUUUUUCCCUCAAAAUCUGUAGUACAAUUCUCAAGUGCUGAGCAUGCUCGGAUUUUGUCUUUGAAUAGAUCAGUAUAUCAUCAAUAAACACAACCACAAAUCUAUCCAGGUAGGAUUGGAAAAUUCGAUUCAUUAAGUCCAUAAAAGCAGCAGGAGCAUUUGUCAAACCGAAUGACAUAACUAAGAACUCAUAAUGACCAUACCGAGUUCUAAAAGCUGUUUUCGGUACAUCACAUUCCUUUACCUUUAACUGAUAAUACCCAGAUCUGAGAUCUAUUUUUGAAAACACUACAGCAUCCUUAAGCUGAUCGAAUAAAUCAUCAAUACGAGGCAAAUGAUAUUUAUUUUUAAUCGUUACCUUAUUCAGCUGCCUGUAAUCUACGCACAGCCUCAAUAAACCAUCAUUCUUUUCACAAAUAAGACAGGUGCACCCCAUGGUGACAUACUCGGUCUGAUAAACCCUUUGUCUAACAGUUCUUGCAACUGCACUUUUAACUCUCUUAAUUCUGCUGGAGCCAUUCUAUACGGUGUCACUGAUAUGGGAGCUGUUCCCGGAAACACAUCUAUCACGAACUCAACUUCUCUAUCCGGUGGUAAACCUGGUAAUUCUUUAGGAAAUAUAUCCAUGAAUUCAUUUACAAUAGAUAGUUGCUCUAACUUUGAUUCAGAACUUCGAGUAUCAAGAAUAUAGGCUAAAUAAGCCUCAUUUCCUUUACGCAACAAUUUCUGAGCAGACAUAAAGGAAAUCAUCCUAACUGUAUCAUCCAACUUUCCAGACUCAACCAAAAUAAUGUCUCCUGUUUAACAUUUCAAACUAAUUCGUUUUUCUCGACAAUUCACUACCGCGUCAUGUUUCAUUAACCAGUCCAUGCCCAAGAUAAUAUCAAAUUCCUGAAAGGGUAGCAGCAUCAAAUCAGCGGGGAAAUCACAGCCCUUAACUUUCAGUGGACAGUUAUGACAUAUUAAAUUAACUACCACACUUUGACCUAACGGAUUUGUAACUUGUACAUCAUAAUCAGUAGGCUUAACUAAUAAAUUCUUUUCAGAUGCUAACAUAGUGAAAAUAUAUGAAUGAGUAGACCCAGGGUCUAUUAAAGCAUACACAGGAACAUCAUAAAGAUAGAAAGUACCAGCAAUUACAUCUGGAGUUGUUGCUUCUUCUCUUGCUCGAAUGGCAUAAGUACGAGCAGGGGCCCUAACUUCUGAUCGACUAGCAGUAUCUUUCAUACCCGAAUGAGUAGCCCCUGUAGCACUGCUCUGACCAGAGCGUCUUCCUUUUUGAUGAGGAGUUUUCUGUUUCUCCUUCUGUUUCACUUCUUCUACUUGUAAUUGGGGACAAUCACGAAUAAAGUGAUCAGUGGCCCCACAUUUAUAACAAGCCCCUAACUUACUUCUACAUUCACCAGGGUGACUUCUUCCACAAUGUUGACACUUAGGCCUUUGGGGAUUUCUUUCUCGUACAUUCUCAUUAUACCACUGAUUCAUGAAUCCAUAAAUCAUAUUUUUGAGUUCUUGUUCUAGCAUCAAUGAAAUUGGAACUUCACUACUUGUUCAUUGUUUAGAGGUUUGUACUCUGCUAUUAACUUCUUCUUGCUCAGUUUGUUCUGGUCUAUCUGACAUCUUUUCAAAUCGAAGAUAAUCUAUAAUAAAAAUAAGGAUUAGAUCGGAUCAUACACAUCACACUAUCACAUAUUUAUAUGGCAUGUAAUUCUAGACACUUUUCACAUCAUACAUAUUCCGAGAAUCGGCUAAACCGAAGCUCUGAUACCAAUAAAUGUAACGCCCCCUUACCCGAGACCAUUGCCGGAGUCGAGCACGAGGCAUUACUAAACUUAUUUGAGCUCUUAAACAAAUUCAGACAAGCUAUCCAACUGUGUUAUAGUCGCUAAAAAAACCAUAUCUCGAGUUACAAAACUCGAAAUCCAAAUCCGUAAAUUUUCCCUGAAUCUGGACUCAUAUAUCUACUUACUAAAUUUUUUUCUGAAAUUUUUGGUUGGGCCAAUUAGUACAGUUUAUUAGUUAAAGUCUCCCCUGUUCCAGGGUUUGGCUACUCUGACCCCUGUACACUACGAAUCAAAUUUCUUCUUGUACAAAAUUCAAAUAACUAUUCCGUUUAUUGAUCUUAAAAAUAGACCCAAUAAGGAAUCCAUACAUAUAUAGUAUGACUCCUAAUUAUUUUUGUACAAUUUUUAAUGAUUUUUACAAAUCAGAACAGGGGAGCUCGAAAUCACUCUGACCUUAUCUCACAAAAGUUAUUAUAUCUCAUGAUUUACAUUUCCAUUUCUUACAUUAUUUCUUUUAUAAGAAAUUAGGCUCAAUAAUAUUUAAUUUCAUAUUUUAUUCAACCUCUAAUUAGAUUUUCAUAAUUUAUGGUGAAUUUUCAAAGUCAAACUACUGCUACUAACCAAAAACUGUUUUAGUACAAAAUAUUGUUAACUAGUUUAUAACAUCUUUACUUCAAUUCAUUUAAACUCUAUACAUGCCAUAUAAAUCUUUAAACAUAAAACAAAAACUACCGGAAUUGAUCUGGAUAGUGUGCCUUGUUGUGUUGAUCCGAUCUACCAACUUCACUUUAAUUCAAUCUACAUAAAAAAAUAUCAAACACACACAAGUAAGCUUAUUGAAGCUUAGUAAGCUCUUAGGCAUAUUAACACAAAUCUUUCUGUACACUGAACACAAUUAUAUAUAUAUUAGUUAAACUAUUUUAUCCUGCAAUUCAUAACUUCAUUAAUAAAUUCAUUUGAAUAAUUUUCAUGAUGCAAUUCACGAACUUAAUUCUUUUGGGCCCAUUUCUUAUUUAUUUCCAUUAUCAAAUUAGGGAACAAUAAUGGAAUUGAGUGCUUCAUUGUCACAUUGCCAUAGUAAACUAUGGACUUUCACAUUGUCACACAUCACACACCGAAGCCAUAGCCCUGCCAUGGUCUUACACGGACCACAUAUCAUACCGAUGCCAUAUCCCAGAUAUGGUCUUAUACGGAAUCACAUAAUCACAUCACACCGAUGCCAUAGCCCAGCUAUGGUCUUAUACGGGGAUACGAAUCACAUGGUACCGAUGCCAUAGCCCGGCUAUGGUCUUAUACGGAAUCAUGUAUCACAUCUUUUCCGUCAAUUCAUUAUAGUCAUAAAAUGAAAGCACUCAAACCAUUGUUCCAGUUAAUUUGUUCUUUUAGUUACACAUUAUUCAUUAGUUCAUAUAAUUUGAAAAUAUUCAUCUACAAUAAAAUACUUUAACAAUCAUAAGAUUUUCAUAUCAAACAUCGAAUUUUUCCAUAUGAACUUACCUGGGUUAAUUUGCAAAAGUCGUAGAAAUUCAGGGACUAUUCUUGAAUUUUCUCAUUUCCACGAUUCACUUCGUUUUCUUGAUCUAUAAUUAUAAAAUCAUUCCUUCAUUAGCAUCCAUUACAAUUCUAUUCUAUUUCACAAUUUAUACCCUUAAAUUUUUGAAAUUAUACUAUUACCCCCAAACUUUUCAAUUUUUUACAAUUUAGUCCCUGCUUAAUUUAUUCAUCAAUUGAACUAAUUCUUCUCAAAUAACACUUUAUUUAAACAUUAUAAACUAUUUCACAGCCUUUGACAUUCAAAGUUUCGUCACCAAACCCUAAUUUCAUAACUUUCACAAUUAGGUCCUAAAUAAUAAUUUCUAUAAAAAUCUCUUCAUAAAAUCAUCAUAUAAUAGAAUUAAAACCUCAAUUCCAUGAUAAAUCAUCAUAAAAUUUCAGUAAUUGUUCAUGGAAACUUUCAAAAUAAUCCAUAUAAUCAAAAACUAAUGAAUUAAACAUAUGGACCUAGUUGUAAAAGUCUCAAAAACACAAAAAUUUAUAAGAAAUAAUCAAGAGUUAAACUUACAUGCUGUAGAAUAUAAAAACCAGCUUCUUAAAAGCUCUGUAAUGGUGUUUUUUAGCUGACGAAGAUGAAGAAAAAUGAAGAAAACUCUAGAUUUUACCUAAUAUAUCAUAUUUUACAAUUAAAUUAUUACCCUAUUUCCAAUUUUGCCCAUUGUUCACACUUGAUUUUUAAUUUUCCUGCACACACAUGCGUCCAGCCCAAUAAUAGGUGUCUAAUUUCCUAUUUAGUCCUCCUUUAAUUAUUACUAGAGCUAUUUAAUCACAUCUCACAAUUUUGCACUUAGUUUAAUUUAGUCCUUUUUACCUAAUUAACUACUGAAACCUUAAAAUUUCUUGACGAAACUUUAAUAUUAACCUAUUUACACUCCAUAAAUAUUUCUAAAAAUAUUUAUGGCUCGGUUUAUGAAUUCGAGGUCUCGAUACCUCGUCUUUAUUCCGUUUUAUCUACAACUUCCUAUACUACAUAAUUUCACUAAUUCAAAAAUAUUUCUAAAACCACACUUAACAUUUACUUACUCAUAUCUAAGCUCACAUGUCAGAUUUAGUGAUUUCAAAUCACUGUUCCGAUAUCACUGAAAUUUGGGCUGUCACAGCAGGGAAGGUUAGAUAUCUAUAAAGGGGUUAUAUUGAGUUUAAAAAAAAUUAAAUUAAUUCGUAAACUCCGCGAAUGCCUCAUACCCUAUUCCGGUAAUGAAUACAGGUAGGGGGUGUUACAUAUUCUUUGUUGUGUUCUUUAGUUAAUUUUAGUUUUAAUCAAUUACUUUAAUUUUUCAGUUAAAUAAUAAAAAACGAUAAUUAUUAGUACUUUUAGUCUUCGUGUGAACAAUAUUUGUAUUCACUGUAACUAUACUAUUAAUUAAUAAGUGUAAUUGCCUUUGUCGAAUUUUUAGUUGGUUUCAUGGACAUCAUUAAGUAAAUUUUUAUCUCAAUCUGACAAAAUCAACAGGUCAUGUGACUUGUGGGCCUUAAGUUUUUUUUCCAUGGGCUGGUAUAAUAAUAGUUCCUCUUUAAAUAUAAGAUAAGUUAUAAAUAAACCUGAUCAUGGGUCGGGCCACCCGCUUAGGUUUGAAGGCUCACUCAAAAAAAUGAGAGGUUUUUCGUAAAAGUAUAAGCCUAAAAAAUAGGUUUGAAAAAAAUAAGAUCCGUUUUCUAAACGGGCCAGGCCUCGAUAAUAUUUUUUUACUUGAUCUGAAUCUGCCUAAAUUUUUUUCACUGUUGUUUUGUUAUCAUUUUGCUAUUAUAUUGCUAUUAUUUUGUUGUUAUUAUUUGGAUAUUGUAUAACUAUUAUUUUAUUGUUAAUUUUGCUACUAUUUUAAAGGUAUUUGCUUGUUAAGUUGCAUUUUUUUUAGUGUUAGUUAAGUAUAAAAACUUUUUUUAUGUAUUUUUAAAUUUCGGGAAACAUUGAUUUUAAUGUUUGUAGUAUAUUUGAUGUAUUAUAUUUUUUAAAUUUAUUUUUAUAUAAAAGAUAUAAAAAAUUAAUACGAGCAAGUCAGGCCGGGUGCAACAUUUUUUAUUUAAGCGGGACUUAGGUUUUAGGUUGGGCUAAAUUAGGACCUGUAAAACAAGUCUAAAAUUUUACAUCAACCUGGCCUAAUCUAUAAUGAAUCUAAUUAUAAAAUCGACUAGUGAAAGAUUUGUUUAUGGGUAGGAUUGCUUAGAACUACAGUGUCUGUGUGAGCACAAGUUAAAGAGAGUGUGAAGAAUUUUUUCUUCUUUUUUUUUUUGUGGGGAUAAACUUUGCAUUUAAAUUUUAAUAGUAUAAUUGUAUCAUUUGAAGGAAUUUUUAACACAAUAAUUUCUUAUUACUUAUUGUUCUUAAUUUAAUUUUACUUCAAAGUUAUUUAUUUUCUUUGCAUUUAAUUUUAUAUUAGUAAGUUAUAUGAUUUUACGUGAUCUUACGUGUUUAAAUUUUAUUAAUUUUUAAAUAACAUAUUUUUUCUCUUUAAGUUUUAAAUAUUAUACAAAGUUGGAACUAUAAGAAAAUAAACUAUAAUAUUAAUUUGAAAAAAAUAAUAAAAUUAAGUAAAAAUAAUUUAUGAUAAAUAUAAAAGAUAUUUACAUUAAAUUAAUAAACACAUUUAAUAAUAGUGAUUAAAAUAUAAUUGUGGAAAAUUGACUUUCUUUUAAAAAAAACUCGAAACAUUUUCCACAUGUACUAAACAAAUAACAAAUAAAAAAAAAGUGACAGUUUUGAGAGUGCUUACUUCACACCGUAUAAAUAAUCUAUCUCAUCAUCAAUUAAAAUAAUUAUCGAUCACUUUUCGAUGUUAUUAUUAUUCAAAUAUUAUUUAAUAUUGUCUUUUAAGAACUAUUACGUUAAUGCUUCAUUCUUUUAUAUAUAUAUAUAUAUAAUUCUAAUUUAUUAAUACUAACUAUCUCUAUUUUAAUCGAUAAAAAUUUUAAUGCUACUUGAUUGAAUAUGCUUAAUUAUUGAAUGCUAUUUAUAAAGCUAAAUUUUAAUUUUAAUUGGUAUAUAACUUUAAUAUUAAUUAAGUGAUAAUUAAUAUGUUUGAAGUUCUAUUCAAGUAAUAAUUCUAUAUUAAAUUAAUAAAAUUAGCACAAUUUUAAAUAUAUAUAUAAUUAACACAAUUAAAUUAUAAUUAUAAUUGUCAUAAAUUUUUUUAUAAUUUAUGCUUAAAUAUCUAACAAUUAUAUUUUAAACUUAGCACAAUUUGUUUACUAAUAGUUUUAAAUUAAAUUAUCAUUUAAAAAAAAUUAAUUUACAAAUGCAAUAUGGUAGUAUAUUUUAGUUUUUUUUCUUCAUAAAAUUGAAAUAAGCAUAAAAAAUUUAAUAACAUUUUCAUAAAUUGAUUUUAAUUUUUUUUAAUAUUUACAUAUGAUUUUAAUUAAAAGUUUGAAAAAAAUAUAAAAUAAUGAUACUAAUAAUUAUAGUCAAUAAUAUAAGUAUAAAUAUUAUUUGUUUGGCCUUAAUUUAUGUAGUUUAUAAUACAAACUCUCAAGUUACUUUACAAAAGGAAUUAAUUAAAAAGCUGAAAUUUUGGAACAUUGCAAUAAUUGUUUUAUUAUUAUUAUUAUAAACUUUUAAUCAUGGUUCUCUAAUUAUCGAACAUUGCAAAUUUUAUACAAAAAAAUUAAGAAAUAAAUAUAUCCUAUUUAAAUAAAUACACAUGGUGCAUUGCACGAACUAAGAAAAUUAAUUAUAAAUAUAAAUAUGUUUAUAUGAUGUUAACAACAUGUAUAGACAUGAUCCACUCCGAGCUUACGAUGUCUGUCUUCAACAUAAAAUCGAAAGUUUCUAUUCUGAAGUGUAUUUAGUUUGAGUGGAUCAACUCAUUUAAAAAAAUGUUUUUAAAAUUGAAUUAGAUGGGUUGGUUAGACUGGUUAAAUUGGAAAUUAAUCGAUACAACGGUUAGGAAUAAGGUAAAAAAUUAGAUGAUUCGCGAGCUAGUAUGAACUAGUUGAAUUGAGCUAAAAAACUAAUUAAAUUGGAUUUUAUAAAAUUUUUAAUAAUUUAUUUCAUUUGAAUAGGAUGGAUCAAUUGGACAAAGAAACGAUAGUAUGACUUAUUCGACCAUCAAGUCAAUUCCAAAAACAUCUUUUAGAAAAUGCAUCCUAAACCAAUGUUUUUUAAAUCAGAUCGGUAGUUGAACCAAUCAAACUAUCGAUUCAUCAGUCCAAUUAAAAAAUUAUUUUAAAAAAAACUAAAAAAAGAUGGUUGAACUGGCUUUUAACUAGUUCAAUUAGUUUUUAGCUAGUUCAACUGGCGGUUCCCUAUCUAACUAGUUUGAAGCCGCUUUCUGGACAUGUCCCCCCUAUUGGUUCCCGGUCCAAUUAGUUGGUCUAUUAUGGUUCAAACAACACCGGUCUAAACUUGUUCAUGGGUCGGGUAAUCUACCUGGAAUGCUCUACCCGUCUUGACUUGGCAGAACUUGAACAAAAACUUUUUUGCCCUCGAGCUGGCUCAACCCAACCCAAUUUUAAAUUAAAUAAUUUUAUUUUAAACUUAAUUAUAAAACAUAUAAAUAUUAAUAUAAAACAUUAUUUUUAAUAUUUCAUUAUUUUAAAAUAGUGAUUUGAAUUAUCUAAAUAGAUCGGGCCAAACUGGGCCGGGCUCAAACCUGAAUUAAUUUUUUAAAAUUUGGGUCUCACGCCAACAGCCAUGUACGGGUCUAACUUGCAGGCUAACUUCUUUACGUGGAUUAAAAUAGGCCACGUUUUCCUCUUCACUUUAAUUUUUAGGGUAAAUUGCACUUAUGGUCACUAUAAAAUAAGAUCUGUCUUAUUUUGGUCAUUUUAAAAUUAUUUUUUCUUAAUUUAAUUACUCUAAAUAAAAAAAUUAUAUGAAUUAGUCACUGCCAUUAAAGUUUUCAUUUUCUUUUAACGGAUUGUUGAUGUGGCAUAUUAGCACGUUGAAUGCUAUGAUAUUAGCAUAUUAAUUAAAUUUUUGGCCAAAAAUAAACAAAAAUUAUCAAGUGUCAGUCAAUAAAUCUGUUAAUCUGUCACAUUAACAAUAUGUAAAAAGAAAAAUAAAAUUUUAAAGGCAAUGACUAAUUUGUACUAAUUUCUUAUUUUGAGUGAUUAAAUUAAAAAAUAAAAUUUUGAAAUAAUCAAAAUAGUACAGGACCUAUUUUAGAGCCAACAUGGCCUAAUUUUUAAUUUAUUUAUAUAUUGCUUUUCUGCCCUUUCUCGACAGUGUUCCAGAAUCGGUUGGUUAAGGCAAUGGCUACCCUCAGAAUAGCUCUUCGUAACGUCCACCGCAUCGUUAAUACCUCCGCCGUUUCCGGCCGUACAACAACCGUUUUCAGGUACCCAUUAACCCCUUUAGUUUUUCAUUUCACCUUUGUUUGCUUUUUUGUUAGUUUUACAUUAUAAAAGAAUUGUCCUUUAUCAGGCCAAAGUAUGGUUGGGUUUCAACAUAUUUUUCAACUAAUAUUAGUAACACUCAGCCAUUAAACAUCGAUCUUUCUAACGAAGAAAGCAAAAGGCGUCUUUAUAACAGGUAAGCUUUUUAUAUUUUGGGUACUUUUUUUUUUCUGAUUUUGAUGAUCAAUAUUUAGCUGGAUUUUGAAUUUUUUUGAUUGAUCCCUGUUUUGGGUUUUUAUAGAUUGUUGUAUAGGAGCAAACAAAGAGGAUUUCUGGAGCUGGAUUUGGUUUUGGGAAAAUGGGUUGAAGAACAUAUCCAUUCCAUGGAUGAAAAUGGAAUUAAAGCUCUUGUUAAUGUCCUCGAUUUGGUAAAAAAUCCAUUUUUUUUGAUUGCUUAUAAGCUGAACUGACAUGCCUUUAAGUUCAAAAAUACUCUCUUACUGGUUCAUGCUUGUAGUUGGUGUUGCUUAUAAGAAACUAUAGUGGAUUAUCAUGUUGCAUUGCUAGUGGAGCAAUGUCUUGGUUGCUGUAUUAGUAAUAGAAUUAAAGAAUUCUUGAUGUUUUGGAUGCUUUUCCCAGAACUAUAUCUGAAUAUUGUCAGUUUUGAAGCAUGCCUGAGCAUUAAGGCUUGAACUGCCAACUAUUGAUCUUCACUCAUAAACAUAAUCCGUAGCUGGCUUCUAAUCUUCCUUCUCUCAUCUCUGAGAUACGUUUUAUGAAGAAAAUGUUUUUUUUUAUCUAAAGAUCAGUAAAAAAAGGGUCUGCAUCUCCUGUAAGAAUGAUUUAGAAGAUCCAAAACCAAAAAUAUCUGUAUUUGCUAGCAGCAAUAUGGUGGAGGCUGUCAAUCAACAUAUAUUGAUCCAAAAUCUGAUUCAAGCAGUAAAAGUAUCAUGGAGGCUACUGUAUUAGGAGUCAGAUUUCAUUUUUUCCUCUCUACUUAAAAAAUGGGUAAAUUAGUCCUUGUACGUUAAAAAAAAAAAGCAAACUAGUUUUUCUGUUAAAAAUUUUAUGUUCUCGUGACAUGCCAUGUGUAUCUUAUGUUGAUGUAUAAGGGUUAGGUUUUCGACAGUAAUUUAACAUACAGGGAUUAACUUGUUCAUUUUUUGAGUAAAAAGAGCAAAAUAUAAUUUGACUCAUAGUACAAGGGCUUUUAUGGUACUUUUAGUGAUUUAAGUCCAGUACGGUACCUUUGAGUAUGUAAGAAAUGUUUUGAAUCUAUUCAUUUUAAUGAAUCAAUGAUGUUGGCCCUAGAGAUUCACAGCAGAUAGUAGAGGCACCGACAAUGUGUUUUCCAAUGCAUGAUAUUGCUGAUUGUAUUAAGCAUGCUAGUGAACUGUGUAUUUCUAUCCAUAAAGUGAUAUGAAACCAUAAAAAUGAUCUUUCUCAACACUAUAACUUUGAGGGAAGAAAUCUAACAAAUCAUGCAUCUCAUUACUAUUCAAAUGUUUGCCAUAUUGGCUUAAAUCUUUCUCUUUUGCAGGAAAACCCCGACCUUUGGAAAUGGCUAACCGGUCAAGAACAACCACCCGAAGCAGUGACUCUUAAUCCUGUAAGAGAUGAUCUAAAAUAUAAAAGUUUUGCACUGGUAUUUCUUUUAUUUCCCAGCAUUCUUAUAUGAUCUUUCGGUUGUUUAGGUCUUCUCUGCUGUGCAACAGAAGGUCUUGAAGAACCUCAACAACCAUUCCUCUCUCGAGACCCGAGCAACCCCUGGCCGGCCAUGGGUGAGAGGGUGGGAUGAUAUAAAAAAAGGUCGCGACAGCCCAAUCACCGGAAAUCAGUAGCUUUUCUUUUGCCUUUGAGGUAACAGGUUCUGAAGGCUUGUUUAUUUCGAAACAAAUUAAGGUUUGUAAUAUGUAAUUUCUUCGAUAUUGUAUGCUAGAGUAUGAAAUAAGGAUGGCUGCAUUGCUGCAGUGAAGCUGGAGAUGUAAGAAAACCCUGAAUGUAUUUGGUAUAGGCCUUAUUUAAGUUGAUCUAUAGCAUAAAAAUUGUGGCUUGAAUUGUCAUUUCUUCUCUAUGCUUUAGCAAAUAGUUAGAAAUAAAGCUUUCUAGUACUCUUUGAGCCAAAUGUGUUCCUAUUGUUUGUUACAGGUUUUUUUUUUUUUUUUUGGGGGGGGGGGGAGGUUGGUGGGGAUGAAGGUAACUUAUUGAGUUUAAAUUUGCACAUUCCUCUAGUUUCAAGGCAUGUUUUGGCCUCUAGGUUUUCAUUUUUUAUUGCAAUUAAAGCAUGGGAAAUGUCUUCCUAAAUAUUGCAUCUCUUACAAUCUAAAUCAACAUCAGUACCUCUCUCCCUCAGCCAAACUCUACAUGGCAAAAUUUUUUUUAUAGCACGCCACAGGAAUGUGGAGGUUCCAUAGAAGCUUCCAAUUCAGAUAGUAUGAGGAGAGUAAACUUUGAUUGUGAGAUUUAUGGGUGAGUGAGUGUAACAAUUGAGUUUAUUGUUGCGACUGCAAAUACUAUUGUUUUAAGGAUAAAUUGGGCUUUAGUUAAUAAGUAAUUUAGAUGAUUGUUGAAUAAAAUUAUUUUCUGAAUGAGGUUUUACAAAAUAAGAUUGGUGAAUCCGAACUAUGUUUACUACCUUUGUUACAUAAAUCUUUUUCGAACUUGUGUGUUCAAAUGUCAAUCGGUACAUUAAGUUUGGACAGAGAUCAAGCUGAAUUGUGCUUUUUCAGCUUGGAAAUAUAAUUUCUAAGCUUUAUUCAACAAUAUAAUGAUACAAUAAAUUGACUCGAACACUUAUAGUUACAAAUUAAUUCGAACAUGUUUCACUUGUAUGAUUUUUCGUCACUCAAAACACAUUUCUAUAUAUCAAUGGUAACACUAAAAUAAUUAAAAUAUUCAACAAACAGUUUAAGGGUAUGUUUGGUUUACUGUAAUGGAAUAAGGCUGUAAUGGAAUAGAGUUGUAAUGGAAUAGAGCUGUAAUCAGUAAUUCAAUUGUUUGGUUGAAUAGAAUGGAAUAGAGCUGUAAUAGAAUUCUUGUGUUUGGUUGAAUGAAAUAGAUGUUAUAAUAGCAUAGGAAAAAAGCUAAAAUGACCAGAACACCUUUAACAUAAUUUUUUUAAAUAAAUGAUUAUUGCUAUUGUUAUUAAAUUUUAAUAAAAAUAAAAAUAAAUAAUUUAAUCAUAUUUUAAUAUAAUUAUUAUUAUAUAUAAUUUAAUAAUAUAUAAUUUAAUAACAUUUUUAAUAUAAUUAUGUUUUUAUUUUUGUAAAAAUAUUAAAAAACCAAAAUAUAUGUUUUAAUUAAAUUUAAUGAUCAUUUUGUAAUUUUUAAAAUUAAAUGACCAAAAUAUCAAAUUAUCAAUAAUUUAAUGACUUGAGUGUAAUUUAACCAUAAAAUCCCACCAAAUAAUCAAGCCCACCCACCAAAAUCCCAACCUACAAUGGCCAUCGUCACUUUCUUCCCUUUCACCUAAAUUUUUCAUCAACAUGAACAAACUAAAGCCCAACAACCCAAUCCAGGAGAAAGCUCUAGAAGCCACUGAUACUUCAGCAAAAUGAAACAAAAGUAGUAAACUCUCCUGAAAAGCAACCUUCAGCAAUUAAUUCCUUCGGUUACCUAAAUAGUUCCUUUCCCAAGCUUCUUCAACCUUUCGUUUCCUGCAAAAAUGCCCUUUCCAGAUCCUACAUUCACCCAAGACUCCCCUCCUCUGAAUUAGAAAACAUAUGUUCAGAGAGCCUUCCCCUUUCGAUCCCUUUCCACUUAUUCUCUGGCAAAAUCAGGAACUCCGUCUCGCAAGCAUUGAUGUAUCCCUCAUUUUAAUCCUUCAACAACAAACAGAUAGGCAACACCAUUCCAACAUUUUUAUUUUAUCUAAAAUGAUAAAAUAUUUAUCUUUCCAUUCUUAUCUACUUGUUAUGCUUAAAAAUUUUGGAUCCCAAAAAUCCAAAAUAGCAACCAGCCAUGACUUUCUUUUCUGCCUUAAAGACCAAACAGUAACAAAGAUGAAGAAACAUGCAAUCUAUUUACUUAAAAAUUUAAGCAGAUUUGAUUCCUUUAGGUGUUUCUGUAGAUGGAUUGUUGUUAUAAAAUUUUGUUAUCUUUUUUUCUGUUAUGGUUUACUUGCUGCACUGUUUAGAUUAAAGUGUUGUUGUUUUUAUCGAUUUUUUUUGUUUAAUUUUAGAGUUUUAGAUGAUUUUCUGCAUGGGUAAAAUGGGUAAAAAGUAAAAAAAAUCUAUUUCAAGAAUCGCCGAAUAACCCAUUCAGAGGUGAGAGUGCGUAAUGGAGAUUACGGGACUUUGCCGCUUAGCCCAAGAAUGGCCAUUCGGCUGAAUGGUCAUUCAGCCAACCAAACAUCUGCUUCACUGUGGUGGGGUGAAUACACCCGGAAUUGCUAAGCUAUUCAUGUGAACCAAACAUGCUGUAAAAGUCUUAGCCAAUCAAUCAUUAAAUCCAACUUACUCCCUAGUUACAAUAUUCCUACGAAAUAACUUCGCUAACUAUUUUAAUAGCUUCUAUUUUUUGUAAUUUUUUAAAUGAUUAAAUUAUUUUUUUAUCAUUUUUAGGGGGAUUAAAGUGCAAUUUUAUAUUUACUAAUUUAAAACCUUUAAAAUUUCAAAAGGCUUAAAUAGAAAAUUUUCUAUUUUAAGAGGCCGGGGACCUUGCCAGCCCCCUAGUUUCCCCCUAUCUCCCUCCCUCUUCCUCUAGAAAAAAAAACUAAAUUAACGAAAUUCAAUUAAAUAUGUUUCAUGAAAAAUGACUUAUGAAAACUGUUUUCUAUAUGUUCUUGUAUUUGUUUUGUAGAAAACAACUUAAUAAUUAGAAAAGAAUUUAUAGGUCAAUGAAAAAUAAAUCGAUUUUCCUAAAAAUUAAUUUACCCUCUCGAAAAACGUAAAUUAAUUUCUAAAAAUAACUUCUAUUUUUAUAUAAAAAUUAACUUGAACAAAAUAUAAUAUUAUUAAUUAAUAGUAAAUAUUCAAUUUUAAUAUUAAUAUGUAAUAUUAUAAUAUUCAAUAUUAUUAAACAUACAUAUUUAAUUAUUUAUAUUGAAUAAUACAAUAAUUUAUUAAUAUAAUUAAUAUAAUUAAUAUAAAUUAUUACUUUAAUAAAUUAUUAAAUAUUACAAUUUUAUUUUAUUAAUAAGUUUUAACAGUAAUAAUUUUAAAUUUCAAAUAAUAUUCUUAAUAUAUUAAUGAAAAAUAUUUAUAUUAACAUUUUAAUAAUCUAUCUAUAUUAUAAUUUAUAAAUAUUUUAUAGUACAAAAUAUAAAUAUUUUAAUUACAUAAAUAUAAGUAUUGAUUUAAAUAUGUUUAGUUUCAUUUAUCUCUUCCAACGUUAACGUGUAAUGGCCUAAAUUCAAGGUUAUCAGAAUAAUUGUUUUGUAACCACAAAUUCGAUUUAAAGAAAAAUUUAUUUUAAUAUUUUUGCAUGAAUAUUUAUAUAAUAGAAAAAUCGUAUGAAAAUAUUGAUAGAAAAAUUUUACCGAUUUGGUGGUUAGUAAGAAAAAGGAAUUAUUGAAGGAAUUAGGUAAAAACAAGGUAUCGAGACCUUGAUCUCGUAAAAUUGAGUAGGAAAUAUUUUUAUAAAUAUUUAUAAAAUGUUAGUGAUGUGAUAUUAAAAUUUCGUUAGGAAAUUUUAAUGAUUGGUCAAUUAAAUGAAAAGGACUAAAUUAUAAAAGGUGUAAAAGUUGCUAGAAUGAUUAAAUAGCUUAAGUGUCUAAUGAGAAAGGAUUUAAAAGGAAAUUAGACCCAAAAUUUAUUUGGGCUGGAGGGCAAGGGCAUGAAAUAAGCAGAAAAAUUGAUGAUUUAAGGGCAAAAUAGGAAUAUUGCAUAAUUAACUAAAUAAAUAUAGGACUAAAUAGGAAAUAUCUAGAUUUCUCUUCAUUUCUCUUCAUUCUCAUCAGCCAAAACGCCAUAGGAGGGGUUCUAUAAGCUGGUAUUUCACAAUUUUUGCACCAAGUGAGUUAAUCCUUGCCUAUUUCUUGUAAUUUUGUGUUUCUAAGACUUUUACAACUAGGUCCUAUUAUUAAAUUCAUUAGUUUUUGAUUUCAUGGAUGAAAUUAAAAGUAACCAUGGUUGAGUGCUGUAAUUUUAUGGUGAAAUAGAAUGAAAUUGAAGCUUUUAUUUAUUUAUGAGAUGAUUUAUUAGGUAAUUUCAAUAGAAAUUGAUUUUUAGAACCUAAUUGUGAAAAUAUUUGGAAUUAAAGUCUAUUGCUGAAAUUCUGAUUCCUAAAGGUUAUAAAGUAGUUUAAAGUGAUGGAAUAAUAUGUUAAUUGAGAAAAAUCAGCUCAAUUGAGAGGCUAAUUGAGUAGGGAUGAAUUUAUUAUUUAUUAAAAGCUUAGGGGAAAAAUGGUAAUAAACAGCUUGCAUUAAAACAGUUUUGGACAGCAGCAGUAGACUAACUUUGAAAAAUCACCAUAAAUUUUAUAAAUAUAAUUAGAAGAUUAAAAAAAUAUGGAAUUAAAGCUUAUUGAGUCUAGUUUCUCAUAGAAUAAACGGUGUAAGCAAUGGAUUUAUGAAUUUUGAGAUAUAAUAAAUUUUGUGAGAUAAGGUCAGAAUGAAUUAGGGUUCCCCUGUACUGACUUUGAAAAAUCAUAAAAAAUUGAAUAAAAUAAUUAUGAGCUUAAAUUUAUAUGUCUAAAAUCCUGAAUGAGUCUAUUUUUAAUAUAAACAAAUGAGAACAUCAUUCGAAUCCUGUAUGAAGAGAUAAUUAAUUUUUAGUGAAGAGAGGUCAGAACUGUUGGGCAGCAGAACAUGGGUGACUUUAAAGAAUAAACUGUACUUAUUGGAUAAACCAAAAAUUAUGAAAAUUUUAUGGUAAGAAGAUACUUGAGUCUAGUUUCAGGGAAAAUUAGCAGAUCCUAAUUUGGAGUUCUGUAGAUCAAGAUAAAAAUAUUUUAGUGACUAUGGCCCAAGUAGACAGCUUUGAAUGAACUCUAAAUAAUAGUGGAAUUAUAGAGAAUGUUGCAUAUGAACAUGAAAUGUAUUAAAUUGAUAAUUAAAUUUAUUGAUUUAGAUCCAGAAGAUUCAAAUACGAAGCUAAAUCAAGAAAAGGAAAAAGUUCGUGAUUAGUAGAUUUUUGUUUAAAAACAAGUAUCGAGGUAAGUUCAUGUAACUUGAAUUAUAUUCUUAAAUGCUUGAAAUGCAUGUUUUUGAUAUGAAUAUGAUUUUAAUGUUCAUUAUAUGAAAUUUUAUAAAACAUUGACAUAUUUGAUAAAAGAGGAAGAAAUCCUGGUUGAAUGAAAGGAAAAUUUGAUGGAUCUCUGAAAAGGAAUUGACGGUAAAAAGGAUCUAGCCCGGACGGGUGAUCCUAUCCUGAUAUAGCCCUCUCGAAGAAUAUGUGUAAAAUGGAUUUCGAAUCAGGGUCUGAAUUUAGCCUGGACUGGUAAUUCAGAUCCAAAUUCAUUAGAGUAAUUGUAGUUACAGGAGAUUUAAUCUGGACUGGUAAUCCCGACAAUACUUUAUGAGUUUAUAUUACAGGAGAUUUAGCCUGGACUGGUAAUCCCGCUGUAAGGAUGAGGUUCGCGGGAGUGUGCUUUCUGAAAUGGAAAUGUGCGUACAUGAAUAUGAAUUGACGGGCCCGGAAAUGUACACUAAAAGUGUAUAUCUGAAAAUCCAUCGAAAUUUCGAGAAAUUCAACGGGAUAAAUAUGAAAAAAAAAUAUAAGGGAAUGGAAAUCAUGGUAUUGAUGAGUUCAUCGAUCAUGGUAUAUAUAUUAGUGACACAUGGAAAUUAUUAUACUAACUUGAAUGUUGAGUUUGUGCAUGUUAAGGUAAUAAUACAUUGAAUAGAUAAAUGAAUGUUUAUUGUAUUGUAUUGAAAAUAUUAGGUAAGUAUAAUUCUUGUUACAUGAGCUUAUUAAACACAAAGUGUUUACCCUGUUUCAUUUUUCCCUGUUUUGUAGUGUUAAGAGCUCAGAGGUCGGAUUUGGUCUGAUACACAUCACACUAUCAACCUCAGGACUUCGGUAUAUAAAAAAACUUUAUUUUGGAAAUCAAUGGCAUGUAUAAGCUAAUAAAGUAAAUGAUUCUGUGAAAUGAAUGUAAUGUCAACCAAUUGUAUGGCUAACAAAUCUUGGUUUUGAUGUGUGAUGAGGUUAUCUUAAAAAUAUGCAUGAAUCUAUCUUGAAAAUAUGUUGAAUUGGAUUGGUUGAUUUGGAUGAGUCCCGGUUUAAAAUUGCAGGGAAUGUUAGAUAUCUAUAAAGGGGUUAUAUUGAGUUUUAAAAAAAAAAAUUAAUUAAUUCGUAAACUCCUGCAAUACCUCGUACCCUAUUCCGACAAUGCAUACGGGUAGAGAGUGUUACAUAACGUGUCACUAUCCAUUCCCAUAUAUUAUAUUAUUAUAAAAUAAAUUUUGAUUGGCAAAAGAAAAGUUAUUAUAAUAUUUUGUAACAAAUAUGUUUAUUUAUGUUUAUUUUAUAAAAAAUAAUUUUAAAAAAAUUUGUCAAACAAUAAAAAGUAUUUUACAGAGAAUAAUUCAAACAACAGAAAAUAUCAAAUUUUCUAAGAAAAUCAAUCAAUUUAUUAAAUUACCAUUUUUUAUAAACUAUUUUUAAUUAAUCAAACGCAACCUAAAUAAAAUAAUAAAUAAUACUACGUACUCGAUUAUUAAAGAAGCACAAGUCCCUCGAUUUAAGGUAUCACCAAACAAUUUUAUUGAGUAGUUGCUUUUUCAUCCCAAACUCCAAUAAACGCUACCAGCAUAGCCCAAUAAAAUUUGUGCUUCAAAUUGACGGCAUGAACAUGAGCAUGGAUGGGUGCAAGCACGCGCGUACUGUCCCGGUCCCCUUUAAAAUAUAAUUUUUCAUUUAAGUUUUUUAAACUUUUUAAAAUUUAAAAUUAUAAAAAUAAAAUUACAUUUUAACUCCUCUAAAAAUAAUAUAUUUAAUUUAAUUUUUUAAAAAUUAUAAAAAUAUAAAAUAUUUAAAUAAUAAAAUUAUAUUUUUAAUAAUAUAAAAUUCAAAAUUUAAUUUCAAACCAUCUAAAAAAUUUUCUAUCUUCACUCUUAAAUGCAUUUGACAUCAAAGUACUUAAAGCUCUAAAUCAAUCAAGACUUAGAACAGUGAGUUAAGUAAAUAAAUCCGAAUAUAGGACAGAAAAAAGGAAGGGAAGAAAACUAAAGAAUAACUAAAUAAGGGGAAAAGAAAAGCAAAAAAGAGGGACAAGUCAUUGAUGAUCCAUUCAUUUCAGACAAUUAUUGUCGUGGGGACUAUCAUUUGGUUUGUUUAAGUACAAAGCUCUUAAAUCUGUUUUGAGGAGAUAAACUGAUAAUUACAAGAACAAUGGAGCAAUGGAGUUGACUGAUACGAGAAAUAGUCACUGGAAGUAUCAUUGCAAGAACAAUGGAGCACUAGAGUUAACAAUGAUAGGAGAGAUAACCCACUAUAUUUUAAGUUUUCUACAACAAGUAACUUUACUUUUAUAUUUAAAGAUCAAAGUUAGGAGUUGAAAUGCAUAUGAUCAAAUCAAUUAAAGUUCGGUUAUUCAAAAUAUUACAUCCCAAAAUUAGGGUUAGAAGAAAUAGAAAAAAAAAAUUAAAUUUUAAAGUAUAAAAAGAAUAGGGUAAACAAACUUAGAAUGCCUUAAAAAUUCUUGUAAUUAAGGAAAUAAUAAGAAUAGGGUAACUCUCUGUUUAUAACUUCAUCACACUUGUCAGUCGUACACUUCAUAUAAAUAACAAGAAAUGUGUAUGGGCUCAUUUCUCAUUAAAUUUUUCAUAUAUAUACACAAUUUCACGUUAUGUAAUCAUACAACAUAUAUCAGUCAUAUCUCUGUAAUCUAAAUAUAUUUUUAUAACAACUUAUCUUGAUUUCAUACUGUUUCAUAUUUAAGCUUAAAUAACCAAAGUAUUUGAAAUAUCAUCUUUAUGCAAAUAGUACACAUGAGGUAUAUAAUUCCAUAAUUAUGAAUAAACACAUUUAUCAAACAUUUUCCAUAUUCAUAUACCAAUGUCUCAUGUCUCCAUAUAUCAAUAACCGUCAUUUUCAUGAAUUUCGAGUUCAAUUUCAUAAUUAUUUGUCUCGUAUUCAAUUUAUUCCAUGUCGGAACUUUAUUCAUUAAUACGUUUGAAUUAUCAAUAAAUAUGGACAGUACAUUUAAGAUGAACAAUUAUAUAAUCACAAAUGAAUUCAUUUAUCAACCAAGUUCUAUACUCAUAUCUUAUCAACUCGUACUUCCUGUAUCACAUAAUUCCAUGAAACACUUACCAAACUUUGUCAAAUUAGUGAACGUCUUACGGAAUUGAGUACUUCGUUUUCUCGAUGUCAUAGUUCAACUAUGGUCUUACACAUCUUCACAUAAUGAUGCCAUAGCCCAGCUAUGGUCUUACUCAUAUUCAUAUAUCGAUGCCAUAGCCCAGCUAUGGUCUUACACGUAAUCACAUAUCACAUAUCGAUGCCAUAGCCCAGCUAUGGUCGUACACGAAUCACAUAUCUCACUGAUGCCAUAUCCCAUAUAUGGUCUUAUACAGUAGCAUAUAUCACACCGAUGCCAUAUCCCAAAUAUGGUCUUAUACGGAAAUCACUUGUCACUUGUAGCCGAAGCUACCACUAUUCACUGAUCAGGUAGCCGGAGCUACCAUUUUUCACUGAUCAGGUAACCGGAGCUACCACUUUUCACUGAUCAGGUAGCAGAAGCUACCACUUUUCACUGAUCAGGUAGCCGAAGCUACCACUUUUCACUGAUCAGGUAGCAGAAGCUACCACUUUUCACUUGUCAUUUGUCCUUGAUCAGAUAAGUGUAGCCGAAGCUAUCACUUAUCACUUUCUCUUGUCUUUGAUCAGAUAAGUGUAGCCGAAGCUAUCACUUAUCACUUGUUGCCAUGGUCCAACCAUGGUCUUUUCCUUCAAUUAAUCUUGUCACUGAACUGAAAUGCUCAAUUUGAUCAUUUAUUCAAUUUUCAUGCUUUUACAUUAUUCACGAUUUUAUCAUCAAUACAUAUGAAAUAACACAUCAUGAAAUUCAUAAAAUUAACAAAUAAUCACCAAAAUUUAGCCAUAUAAACUCACAAGUUCAAUUUUUGUAUUAUAACGAUAAUCAUAAUUUCAUAUUAAAUAUUCCAAAUAAAACAUUAUAUCAUUUCUAAUCCAACACUUAUCGAUUAUAAUCGGGCAUGUGAUCAAUUUAUACACGAGUCAUUCAUAUAUUUUUUUCCUCCUCCUCCUCUCCAUCCACAUCCUUAGUAUAAAUAACACACUUGUAAGUAACCUUAUCCAUAAUUUUCACUAAUUACUUAUAUGAAUAUUCAAGCUAUCCACCCGUGUCAUAGUCACUAAAUUAUUUAUAUCUGAAGAUACAGAACUCCAAAUUAAAAUCUGCUAAUUUUUCCUGAAACUAGACUCACAUAUCUUCUUACCAUAAAAAUUUCAUAAUUUUUGGUUGGGCCAAUUAAUACAGUUUAUUCAUUAAAGUCUCCCCUGUUCUGCUGUCUGACAGUUCCGACCUUUCUUCACUAAAAAUUAAUUAUCUCCUUGUACAGGAUUCGAAUGAUGUUUCCGUUUGUUUCUAUUGAAAAUAGACUAAUUCAGGAUUCUAAACAUAUAAAUUUAAGCCCAUAAUUAUUUUUAUCCAAUUUUUUAUGAUUUUACAAAGUCAGAACAAGGGAACCCGAAAUCAUUCUGACCUUGUCUCACAAAAUUUAUCAUAUCUCAUGAUUUACAAUUCCAUUUCUUACAUAAUUUCUUCUAUAGCAAACUAGACUCAAUAAGCUUUAAUUUCAUAUUUUAUCCAUCCUCUAAUUCCAUUUCUACAAUUUUUGGUGAUUUUUCAAAGUUAGACUACUGCUGCUGUCCAAAACAGUUUUAGUGCAAAAUGUUGAUUUCCAUUUUGCCCCAAAGUUCACAAUUCAUACAAUUCAGUCCUUACUCAAUUAACCCCUCAAUUAAGAUAAUUUUCUCAAUUAAUACUUUUCCUAGACAUUAUAAGUUAUUUCAUAACUAUUGAAAUUCAGAAUUUCUACAUAAAACUCUAACUUCAAACUCUUUUAUAAUUAGGUCCCAAACAUUCACUUUCUAUUCAAUUCUUUCAAUAAAAUCAGCAUAUAAACAAUUUAAAGCUCUAAUUCCAUGCCAAAUCAUCAUAUACUUCCAGCACAUAUUCAUAGAAACUUUCAAUUUCUUUCAUAGAAUCAAAAACUAAUGAAUUUAACAAGUGGACCUAGUUGUAAAAUUCACAAAAACACAAAAAAAUCAAGAAAUAAU
rnacentral:lncRNA from 1 species